AUGGCAGACAAUGGAAUCGGUUGUUGAGAUUUGAUUCUUGGAAAAGGCAGCCCCACCCUCAUAUUACAAGCCAUGGAGACCUGUUUUCCACUUACUUCUGUUUUUAUAUACAGACAGUACGGUUUCCACUACUUUUCACAACAAUUAUAAUAAUCCAUGCUCCAUGCCAGGAAUCCAAGGCUGAAAAAUAUUUGUUUUUGUUAAAAAUGCCUAAAUACACUCAAAUCAUUCAUCAAUUUUGGUGGUGUCUUCUCAUUUCUCUCUGAUUGGAACCCUGCUGCUGCUGCUCUCUCUCAAAAGUCAUACCUACUACUCUAAUCUCCUUUCAGUCUUCACAUUCAGCCUUACAUCAGGGAUCUGCUGAAUUUUUUUUUUGGCUUCCAAAACACCAUCUUUCCUUGUUCUCUUUUAGUCGCACUGAAUCAACUUACAAGCAAUCCUUGAGCUUUCUCCAUCUCUUCACUCUCUACACCUUUGCCAUUUUAUCAUCCAUUCCUAACUUCACUCAUUUCCAAUUUCACCACUGUUUUUUCCCUUUUCCUACUCACCAUCCCUCUGCUUGGAACAAAUACUCUUCUCCUUCCAUUUCUUGCGUUCUCUUCUUUUAGUUUGUUCUUUAUUGCUGCUUUCAUUUGUUUCUGUCUUUUGCUUUCAUUUGUUUCUGCCUUUUCUUGCUUCCCAUUUGUUUUCCAAAAAAAAAAAAAAAAACCCAAAAAAAAAAAAAAAAUCGAACUGAGACGAAAUGGCAGAGAGCGUUAUUACCAUCCCUACUACCAUUGCUGAAAAAAUUGCAGGCUACUUGGUUGCUCCAAUUGGACGCCGGCUUAGUUAUCUGUUUUGCUACCGCAGCCACAUGGAUGAUCUCAACAAGAAGGUUCAAGAGUUGGGGCGUGUGAGGGGCGACCUUCAGAUUACUGUUGAUGAAGCUAUUAGAAGAGGGGAUGAAAUCAGACCUAUUGUUGAAGACUGGUUGACUCGGGAGGACAAGAAUACAGGGGAGGCAAAGACAUUCAUGGAAGAUGAAAAGAAAAGAACCAAGAGCUGUUUCUAUGGGUGGUGUCCUAAUCUCAAGUCACGUUACCAGCUAGGCAGAGAAGCAGACAAGAAGGCGCAGGUUAUUGUUGAAAUCCAACAACAAUGCAAUUUCCCACAUGGCGUAUCAUAUCGUGUCCCUCCACGGAAUGUAACCUUUAAAAAUUAUGAACCUUUUAAGUCAAGAGCCUCGACUGUGAAUCAAGUUAUGGAUGCAUUAAGAGAUGAUGAGAUCGACAAGAUUGGGGUAUGGGGCAUGGGCGGUGUGGGCAAAACCACGCUGGUCAAACAAGUGGCUCAACUAGCUGAAGAGGAGAAGCUGUUCACCGCGCAAGUCUACAUAGAUGUAUCCUAGACUCGAGAUUCGGAAAAACUUCAAGAAGGUAUUGCUAAAAUUCAACAAAAAAUUGCAGACAUGUUGGGCUUGGAAUUUAAGGGGAAGGAUGAAUCCACGAGAGCAGUUGAACUGAAGCAGAGACUGCAGAAAGAGAAGAUCCUUAUCAUCUUAGAUGACAUUUGGAAGUUAGUUUGUUUGGAGGAAGUUGGAAUUCCUUCUAAAGAUGACCAGAAAGGAUGCAAAAUAGUGUUGGCUUCUAGAAAUGAGGACCUAUUACGCAAAGACAUGGGCGCAAGGGUAUGUUUUCCACUUCAACAUCUACCAAAAGAAGAAGCUUGGCGUUUAUUUAAGAAGACAGCAGGUGAUUCUGUGGAGGGGGAUAAACUGCGACCCAUAGCAAUUGAGGUAGUUAACGAAUGUGAGGGUCUACCAAUUGCAAUUGUAACAAUUGCAAAUGCAUUAAAAGAUGAAAGUGUGGCUGAAUGGGAGAAUGCUUUGGAAGAACUGAGGAGUGCUGCGCCAACAAACAUCAGCGGAGUGGAUGACAGGGUAUACGGAUGUCUGAAGUGGAGCUACAACCAUUUGAAAGGUGAUGAAGUCAAGUCAUUGUUCUUACUUUGUGGUUGGUUGAGCUAUGGCGAUAUUUCAAUGCAUCGAUUGUUACAGUAUGCUAUGGGUUUGGGUUUGUUUGACCACAAGUCAUUGGAGCAAGCAAGAAAGAAACUAGUUACAUUGUUGAGAAUCCUCAAGGCCUCAAGCUUGUUACUUGACGGUGAAGGUCAUAGAGACGAUUUUGAAGAAGAAGCCUCAAGGUUGCUUUUCAUGGAUGCUGAUAACAGGUCUGUCAGGAUGCAUGAUGUUGUUCGUGAUGUUGCCAGAAAUAUUGCAUCCAAGGAUCCUCAUCGAUUUGUAGUCAGAGAAGAUGUUGAAGAAUGGUCAGAGACUGAUGGAUCCAAAUACAUCUCUUUAAAUUGCAAAGAUGUGCAUGAGCUUCCUCACAGGUUGGUAGGUCCGAAACUUCAAUUUUUUCUAUUGCAGAACGGUCCUUCCUUGAAAAUCCCACACAAAUUUUUUGAAGGGGUGAACCUACUCAAAGUUUUAGACUUGUCUGAAAUGCAUUUCACAACACUACCUUCAACGCUUCAUUCCCUUCCAAAUCUUCGAGCAUUACGUCUAGACAGGUGCAAGUUGGGAGACAUAGCUCUAAUUGGAGAGCUAAAGAAACUACAAGUUCUUAGCAUGGUGGGUUCCGAUAUUCAACAAUUGCCUAGUGAAAUGGGGCAGUUGACGAAUCUAAGGUUGUUGGAUUUGAAUGAUUGUAAGCAGCUUGAAGUAAUUCCACGAAAUAUCUUAUCAAGCCUGUCUCGAUUAGAAUGUUUGUGCAUGAAAUGGAGCUUUACUCAAUGGGCAGCUGAAGGAGUUAGUGAUGGAGAAAGCAAUGCUUGUUUAUCGGAGCUGAAUAUUUGUAGGCACGUGGGAAACAAAUUAUAAAACAUCAAAAACAUUAAAGCUCGGACAGGUUGAUAGAAGCUCACUUUUAAGGGAUGGAAUUGACAAGUUGUUGAAGAAAACUGAAGAACUAAAGUUGAGUGAAUUGGAAGAAGUAUGUCGUGGCCCAAUUCCCAUAAGGUCUUUGGAUAACCUUAAAACUUUAGAUGUGGAGGAAUGUCAUGGAUUGAAGUUUCUCUUUUUACUUUCCACAACCAGAGGCCUUUCCCAAUUAGAAGAAAUGACAAUAGAAGAUUGCAAUGCCAUGCAGCAAAUAAUCGCAUGUGAAGGGGAGUUCGAAAUAAAAGAAGUUGAUCAUGUUGGGACCAACUUGCAGCUGCUCCCUAAAUUACGAUUUUUAAAACUUGAGAAUCUACCGGAGCUCAUGAACUUCGAUUACUUCAGCUCUAAUUUGGAAACAACAUCACAAGGAAUGUGUUCCCAAGGCAAUCUUGAUAUCCACAUGCCAUUUUUCAGUUAUCAGGUAUGUUUAAGCUUAAUUAAUAGCUAAUUUCCAUAGUUUUUUAUUUUUUUCAUAUCACUUUUUUUUUAAAAAAUAAAUGAAAAGAAAAAGUAGGUUAGGUCCACAUGAACUUUUUAAUUGCACCUUAUAAGUUUGUUAAAAGGAGAUAACAUAAGGAGGAGAAGAGAAUUUAGUAAAUUAUUUUACUUGAAGAUACACUCAAUAUUUGGAAAAAGUUUAGUUUGAAUAUAAAAAUCUUAAAAUAUUAGUAAUGUUUUAUAACUUUUAUAAAUAAAUUGAAAAGGAUUAAUAAGGAAAGAUAGGGAAAUGAAGAGAAAAAUGAAUCUUCAUUUUGUUUAUUUAUUUAUUUUUGUUUUUUACAAUUAUUUAUUAUAACAUAAUAAGAAAUAUUCUAUCUCUUUUUCUUAAUAAUUAACUUUAUUUUUUAAAAUCUAAUUGAACUAUAUAAUACAUUUUUUUAUAAAGAUAAAAAGCUUUAGUGAUUCUCUUUCAUUAAAAUAUUGGUAAAAAUAAACAAAAAUAGAAAAAAUUUAGAUAAAACAAAUAAAAUGAUAAAUAAUAUAUAAAGAUACAUAUGAUUGAAUUAAUGAUAUGAUUAAAUUAGUGUGGUUUGUCAAUAAUAUAGAUAUGUAUGAUCAAAUUAGUAUGAUUUGUAAAUGAUAUUGCAUCAGUAGUGAUAAGUAUGACUUUCAAGAAGAAUGCUAAAAUUAAAGAAUUAGAUAUGAAGGAAGAUGUGGGAAAGGUUAGGCCUUUGACCAACCCUCCUAUUUGUUUUUAUUUUUAUUUUUAUUUUUUUAACUUAUUGAAAGAGCAUCUUAUUUUGAUAAGUUUGUAAAUGCUACUUCUUCUUCUUCUUCUUGUUUUUAUUUUUAUUUUUAUUUUUUUAAUUUAUUGAAAGAGCAUCUUAUUUUGAUAAGUUUGUAAAUGCUUCUUCUUCUUCUUCUUCUUCUUCUUCUUCUUCUUUAAAAAAGUGUUUCAACCACAACACCAAAUGCACUCAUCAUCCCCCACUAUUUUUCACUAUUUUGUCACACCAACAUAGCAUUUCUAUGUUCUUUUAACAAAAAAUAUAGUAAAAAAAUCAUCAUUAAAUAUCUAAUAUUAUGUGAGAACUUGCUAGAACCAAUAAAUUUUCUAUUGAUAAUUUGUCAAAUUUUUUUGGGACAAUUUCUCCUUGAUUGUUUUAAAAUUUUAAAAUAUGACAAAGUGAAGAUGUGAAUAUUUGGAAGUUGAAGAAUAUUUAAGAAAGGUAAUAUGUUUGUGUUAAUCAUAACUUUCUAAUUGAUGAUGUCAUGUAUUAUAUUACAGGUUUCAUUCCCUAAUUUGGAGAAGUUGGAAUUCAUUAAUCUUCCCAAAUUGAAGGAGAUAUGGCAUCACCAACCUUCACUUGAGUCAUUCUACAAUUUGGAGAUCCUUGAAGUGUUACAUUGUUCAUGUCUGCUUAAUCUUAUCCCAUCUUAUUUAAUACAAAGGUUCAACAAUUUGAAAAAGAUAAACGUCCAUAACUGCAAAGUCCUAGAAUAUACGUUUGAUCUUCAAGGACUUGAUGAAAAUGUUGAAAUCCUCCCAAAGUUAGAAACCUUGAAGUUACGAAGACUACCUAGGUUAAGGUAUAUUAUAUGCAAUGAGGACAAGAAUGAUGGUAUGAGGUGUCUUUUCUCUUCUCCAACGCUCAUGGAUUUUCAAAACCUCAAAUGUCUAUCCAUCCAAGAUUGUGCAUACGAAAACAAUGAAGAGGGACAUGUUAAUACUCCUAUAGAAGAUAUAGUGCUCUUCGGCGAAAAGGUUAGUUUUCUCCCAUAUUUUUUUAUUUUUAUUUUUCCAUAUACUAUUUUUGGAAAUAUUGACAAACAUAUUCCAUAAAAAUAAUAAUAAUAAUAAUAAUAAUAAUAAUAAUAAUAAUAAUAAUAAUAUGAGAAGAUCAUAUCGAUCUUUAAUAAUAAAUUUAUUAAAUUAUUUAGACAUUUAAUUUUAGAUAAUAAAAAUGGUGAAUAAUAAUUAAAUUAUAUAGGAGUUGAAAAAAGAAAAGAAAAAAUUAAAAUUAAAAUUUUAAAAAUAAUAAAUAUGAAUAGAAAUAAUAUAAAAUAAAAAAAUCAUAAGUGUUAUUUUAAUUUAAAAGUAAAAAAAAAAAAAGGUGCUAAUUGGAAUAAAUAUUAUGAUGAAUUGAAAACGGAAUUAGAGGAAUAUUUUAAUUAAAAAAGUAAAUUUUAAAAAGGAAUUAGUGAAAUUUAUUAAUAAGAAAUAAUGAAAGAGUGUAUGAUAUAAUAUAGAGUAAUAAAUGAUUAGAUAUAAAUAAAAGUAAUUUAGUAUGGGAAUAUAUGUAACAUAGAUUACUAAUAAAUAAAUAAAUAAACUAUUCAAAUCAUAAUAUUUUAUUUGAAUCUUAGAAUAUUUAAAAUAAAUAAUAUUUAGGAAAAUUUGGGUAAGGUGUAAAAUGGUAAAAAUAUUUUAAAAAUUAUGAUUGGUUAAAAUAUUCUAAAAACUAUGAUUAAUAUUUUCCUUUUGAAAAUAAAAAUAAUAAAGGAUAAAAACUAAUUGUCGUUCUUUUAAAAUAACAACUAAAAUAUUCAUAUUUAACACUUUUAUAAAAAUUAAUUUCAGGUUAAUUUGUUGUUUUGGCUAAAUAGACAUAGCUUUGAUAUCAGGUUAUAAGUGAACAUAUAUAUAUAUAUAUAUUUGUUGAGAAAAUCUGAAGCUCUUUUGGAUUUAAAAUAAGGGGUAAGGGUUUUGUAGGUAUAUUAUAAUUGAAGAUCAAGAUAAGAAGGAGGGUGAGGGAAAGGCCUUUAUCCAACCCUCUUACCCAACCUGUUUUGUUUUUUAUUUUUAUUGUUUAGAAAUUUAUAAUAUUUUAAAUUGUUUUUUUAAAUAAAUUUUUUUCUCUUGUGCAAGGAUAAAAUUACUUAGUUCUUUGACAAUUUCUCUGUUUUUAUUAAUUUUACAAUUUUUUUUUUCAAAUUUUAAGAUUUUUUUUUUUUAUUCUUGAAAACAUAAAUUUGAAAUUUUUUUAUUUAAUUCUAAAUUUUAUCCAUAAGAUAUUUUCAUUAAGGGUAAUUUUGGUGUGUUAAAAAAAGGUUUUUUUUUUAAUUUAUUUAAAAAGCAUCUAAUUUGUUGUUCAACAUGGUAUCCACUUUGGUAGAAGGUCAUAGGUUUGAGUCAUCUCUCCACAAUUUACAUGUUUGUUUCCUCUUUUGUUUGUUGGAUAUAAAUCCAAAUUUUGUGUAUCUCUCCCCAUGUGGGCCUAAAUUAAGCUUAAGCUUUUAGGAAAAAAUUGAUAGUUAUAUAUUUUAAAAACUUUAUAAGGAAAUUGAAAAUAAUAUUUUGGAGGGAAAAUGAUUAAAAUAAAAUUUAAAAAUGGAUAUUCAUUUUUUAAUAUUUUUUAUUUAUAAUUAUUUAUUAUAAUGAAAUGAGAAAAAGGAGAACUUUAUUUUGUCUGAUUUCUUCAACGACUAAUUCUCUAUAUUUUUAAUAUAAAAUUAUAAUUAAAUUAAAUCAAUUUUAAUCUAUCAUGAAAAUAAUUUUAAUAAAAAAUUGUGAAUAGAAAGUGAAUUAUAAAGGAGCCGGAGAAAAAUAAUAAAGUGAAAAUUUAAUUUUAACAAUAAAUGUUAAUAUAAAUAAUAUAAGAAUAAUAAAAUAAUGGUUGUUAUUAUUUUAAUUUAGAAAGGAAAAUUUUAGGUGUAAUUGGAAUAAAUGUUGCAAUGAAUUGGAUAGGAGAAUUAAUGAAAAUUUUAUUCAAAUAAUAACAUUUUAUUUAAAUAUUAGAAUAUUUAAAAUGAUUUACAUUUGGAAAAUUUGGGGUAAGAUGUUAGAUGAUUAAAAUAUUUUAAAAUUUAUGACUAAUUUUUUACUUUUGAAAAUAAAAAAGAGUAUAAUAUAUUUUAUUUUAUAUAAGAAGACUAAUUAAUUUUCAUUUUAAAAUAACGGUGAGAGUUAAUAAUUUUAUUAACUUUAUAUUUACAUUAAUCAUUAAUAAUAAUUUUAUUAUUUAGUUUUUUUUAAAAAGAAAAAGGCUAGUGGAUCAUAGAUAAAAUAUGAAGAAGUAGAGAAAAAUAAUAAAGUUAAAAGUGAAAUUUUAAUUUAAAAACAUUAAAUAUUAAUAAGAAAAACAUUAUAAAAAAAGGGUUAAUCUUUAAUAGGAAUAAACAUAGCAAUGAUUUUAAAAGCCAAAUUAUUGAAACUUUUAAUAGAAAAAAUAAUUUUAAAAAUAAAAUUGUUCAAAUGAGUAUAUGAUUUAAAAUGAAAUAAUAAGUGGUUGCAUAUGGAACGUAUCAAAAUGAAUGAUUGUUUGCCAAGCAAAGCUCUUGAUCACCAUUCAUGAAACAUUAUUUGUUUUAAUUUGAUUUAUCGAAUUUUUUUGUAACAUUAUUAUUUUUUUAAAUAUAAUAGAAGUGAACAUGUGAAUAUUUGAGAGUUAUAAAUUAUGUUUAAGGAAUAUUUUUAUAUUUAUCAUAACUUUAUAAUUGUUGAUGUUACAUAAUGCAUUGUAUCUCUGUUGUAGGUUUCAUUCCCUAACUUAGAGGAGUUAAAACUUGUUGGUCUUCCCAAGUUGAAGAUGAUAUGGCAUCACCAACUUUCACUUGAAUUCUUUUGCAAGUUACGAAUAUUAAGAGUGCAUAAUUGUCCACGUCUAGUCAAUCUUGUUCCAUCUCAUUUGAUACAAAGCUUCCAGAAUUUGAAAGAGCUAAAUGUGUAUGAUUGUAAAGCCCUAGAAUCUGUGUUUGAUUAUCGAGGAUUUAAUGGAGAUGGUGGAAUCCUCUCAAAAAUAGAAACAUUGACGUUGGAGAAACUACCUAGACUAAGGCUCACUAUAUGCAAUGAAGACAAGAAUGACAACAUGAGCUAUCUUUUAUCACCUUCCAAGUUCAAGGAUUUUUACCAACUCAAAGAGCUAUAUAUCAUUGAUUGUGGGAUGCUUUUGGAUGGAGAGGUUAGUUUUCUCCUAUAUUUUUUCUUUUUCCUUAUGCUACUUGAAAUAUUUAGGGAGAUAUACUAUAAAAAUAAUUUUGAAAAAAAGUAUGAAAAGAGUACAUUAAUCUUUAAUAAUAAUUUUAUUAAAUUAAUUUAAAAUUUAAAUUUAAAUAAUAAAAAUUGUGAAUAAUAAGUAAAUUAAAAAUGAGUUGAAAAAAGAAAAUUUAAAGUGAAAAAAUAAUUUUAAAAAGGAUAAAUGUUAAUAGAAAUAAUAUACAAAUAAGGAAAAAAUGGUAUUUAUUAUUUUAAUUUAGAAAGAAAAAAAAUUAGGUGCUAAUUGAAAGAAAUAUUACAAUGAAUUGGAAAGGAGAAUUAGUGAAAAUUUAAUUCAAAUAAUAAUAUUUUAUUUAAAUUUUAUAAUAUUUAAGAUCAAUAACAUUUGGAAAAAUUGGGGUAAGAUGUUAGAUGAUUAAAAUAUUUUAAAAUUUAUAACUAACUUCUUACUUUUGAAAAUAAAAAAGAGUAAAACACAUUUUAUUUUAUACAAGGUAAUUAAAACAUAUUUGAUUUCAUAUAAUGAGACUAAUUAAUCUUGAUUUUAAAAGAACCUUUAAAGUUAUAAUUUUAUUAUUUAGUUUGGAAAACUAUAAAAAGAACCGGUAGUUCAUAAAUAAAAUAUAAAGGGGUCGAAAUUAAGAAUAAAGUUAAAAUCAAUUUUUUUUUAAAAAAAAAUAUUAAAUAUUAAUAUAAAAACAUUAAAAAAUAAGGAAAUAUUGUAAAUUUUAUUUUAAUUUAAAUAAAAAGGUUUAGUGUUAUUAGAAAUAAAUAUAGUAAUGAAUUUAAAAGUAAAAUUAUUGAAAAUUUUAAUAAGAAAAAUAAAUUUAAAAAAGAAAUGAUUAAAGUUUGUAUAUGAUUUGAGAGUUAAAGAAUUAUAUUAACAACAUAUUUUUAUUGUUAUCACACUUUUAUAAUUGAUGAUGUCAUAUAUUAUAUAUUGGGUUUCUGAUGUAGGUUUCAUGUCCUCCUAAUUUGGAAGUGUUGGUUCUAAAAAGUCUUCCCAAUUUGAAGGAGAUAGAUGUUGGGAUCUUCGCACAGUUAAAAAUCCUAAUAUUAAAGAAACUACCUAGGCUAAGAUAUACAUUUGCUUCCCAGCUCAAGAAUUUUCACGAUCUCAAAGAGCUACACAUCAUUGAUUGUGGGAUGGAAGGCGGGAGAGAUGUCAGUACUCCUAGUAAUGAUGUAGUUCUCUUCAAUGAGAAGGUUAGUUUUCUCCCGUAUUUUUUAUUUUUCCUUAUACUACUCUCUUGAAAUAUUAAACUACCAAUCCUUUAAAAUAACAAUCAAAUUACUUUAUUAUCCUUUUUUUAACAUUUAAAAAAAAUUAAAAUACAAUCCUACAUAUUAUUUAUUACAUAGAAAUUAUAUAUACACAUCAUUUUUAGUUUGGACAUCCUUUCUCCUUCACACUUGUUUUUUCUAAAAAAAUUAUGUAUUAUUUUAUUGUUAACAUUAAAAGAAACGUAAUAUUUUUCAAAAAACAAAGUUAUGAACUUUUUCUUCGUAUCAAUUAUGUAAGUCUUGCAAUUUUAUAUUUUAUUUUGUAUGUUUUGAUUAAUUUUUUGAUUUUUCAUACUCUAUUUAUUUAAUAUUUUGUUUGAGACCCCAUUUAAAUAUAUUUCUUGAAAAAUAUUAAUUUUAUAAUAGUUGUUUGAUUUUUGGGGAAAUUAUUUAAAAUGAAAAUUACUUUUUAUUUAAAAAAUGGAAAAACUAAAAAAAUAUAUAUGUUAUAUUUUUUUUAUUGUGCUCUAAAAUUUAAAAUUUGUUUUAUUUUAAGUACAUCUCCUACAUUCUCACGUUAAUAAGAAUUUUUCAGGAUAAAAAGAUUUGAUAUUUUUUUAUUUAAAUUUAUCAUGCUCUACUAUGUUUAAUUCAUCCUUCUUAUAUACAUUUGUUAGAUAAAUAUUUUAUCAAUAAUAUCAAUAAAUUAAUUAAUUAUUGAUAAUUUAUUUAUUUAUAUGGUAUUUUAAUUUUACAAAAUAAUUUUUUUUCUUAAAUGGUAUUUUAAUUUUUAUAAAACAAAAAAAAAAAUUGUCAUCAAAUAAGAUAUCAUAAAUAUUUGUUUUAAUUAAGAGUUUUUUUAGGUUAAAUAAAAUAAAUUUUAAUCCUUUUAUGUUAAAAAAAAAAAAGAAAAUAAUAAAAAAUUUUCAAAUAUUUUAAUCCCAGUUGUGUCAAAAUAAUUUCGAAUUUUUUUUUUCUGUUAUAAAUCAAGUUGGGAGAUAUUCACUUGGACAUAUUGGGAAAUUUUAAUAUAUGAAAUGUGUGUGUGAAACAAAAGGAACCGUUUUCGACAUGCCACCUCUUCCCAAAAGUACAAAACUAUGUACCUUAUUUCCAUUUUCCACUGCUUUGCUCGCAUUGCAGUUGGCCUCAUGGCCUGACCUUGUUCUACUCAUCCCUCUUUUCUAUUAUUUUUAACAAAAAAUAAUAUAUAUAUAUAUAUAUAUAUAUAUAUAUAUAAGGGUAUUAUAAGGGUAUUAUGUGGGUCCCAAUAAAUUCUAGAUGUUUAGGUGAUAUUUAAUCCUUGAUUUACCAAAGUUUCCCAAAAUAUUCUAUCACAAUUUUCCAAUUCAUGGAUAUAAUCCAUAAAAGAUAAAACAAUUCUUCAAAAUCAGGUAACAAAAUGUAUUUUUCCUCUUAAAAAAAUUAAAAAUUCAAUGCAAUUGCUCCAUUAUAUUAUAAAAAGAAUCAAGAAGAAAUCACCAAAAGCUUGUUGAGAUAUUUUGGAUGUAUUUAUAAAAAUUAAUAAAUAGCAAAGUAUAUAUAGAGUAUAGUAGUGGAGAGCAUGUAAAUGUGGACAAUAUAUUAAAAAUUAAUAAAUGACAAUAUAUAUAGUAUGUGGAAAUAAUACAUGUAUAUCUUUUUUUUAAUUUGGAUGUUUUUUUUUUCUCUUUUACUCUUUUUCUUUGAAAAAAAAUUAUGUGUCAUUUUGUUGUUGACAUCUAUUUUACAAAACUUUGAAAAAGAAAAUUUUUGUAGUUUUUUAUUUUUAAAAAUAAAAAGAGUAAGACAUAAAAAUACAAUCCUGAAUAUUAUUUUUUAUAUGAAAAUUGUGCAUAUACAUAUACAUCCUUUUUAAUUUAAAUAGUUUUUCUCUUUCUCUUUUUCCUUUUUUUUUUUAAAAAAAAAAUUGUACUAUUUUUUUGUUAAUAUCAAAAUAAACAUAAUAUUUUUCAAAAACAAAAGUUAAAAGCUUUUUCUUUGUAUGAUGAAGUAAGUUUUGUAAUUUUGUAUUUUUUUAAUUAGUCAUACUUUAUUUACUGUUAGUCAGAAGCCCAUUUGAAUUGUAUUUCUUGAGAGAUAUUAAUUUUAUAAGAGUUGUUUGAUUUGUUUUGGAAAUUGUUUAGAACAAAAAUUACUUUUUCUUUCACUAAUGAAAAAUUUAUAAUGUAACAGAAGUGAAUAUGCAAUUAUUUCAGGGUUGAAUUGAAUUAUAUUUAAGGAAUUUGUUUAUGCCUAUCAUCACAACUUUCCAAUUGAUGCCUUAUAUUGUGUUUUUGCUACAGGCUUCAUUCCUUGAAUCAAGAGCCUCCACUGUGAACAAAAUUAUGGAUGCCUUAAGAGAUGACAAUAUCAACUUGAUAAGAAUAUGGGGCACGGCCGGUGUGGGCAAAACAACACUGCUGAAACAAGUGGCUCAACAAGCUAACCAACAACAGUUGUUCACCACACAAGCCUAUAUGGAUGUAUCCUGGACUCGAGACUCGGAUAAACUUCAAGGAGUUGCUGAACUUCAACAAAAAAUUGCAGAAAAGGUGUCGGGCGUGCCACUUUGGUUGCAGGAUGGAUCCGGAAUAACGGAUGAACUGAAGCGGAGACUGAUGAUGCUAGGGAAGAUCCUUAUUAUCUUAGAUGAUAUUUGGACGGAAGUUGAUUUGGUGAAAGUAGGAAUUCCUUUUGAAGGUGAUGAGACGCAAUGCAAAAUAGUGUUGGCUUCGAGAGAUGGAGACGUAUUAUGCAAAGACAUGGGCGCACAAAUAUGUUUUCAGGUGGAACCUUUGCCACCAGAAGAAGCUUGGAGUUUUUUUAAGAAGACAUCAGGUGAUUCCGUGGAAGAGGAUCUUGAACUGCGACCCAUAGCCAUUCAAGUGGUUGAAGAGUGUGAGGGUCUACCAAUUGCAAUUGUAACAAUUGCAAAGGCAUUAAAAGAUGAGACCGUGGCUGUAUGGAAGAAUGCCUUGGAACAACUCAGGAGUUGUUCACCAACAAACAUUAGAGCAGUGGAUAAGAAGGUUUACUCAUGUCUGGAGUGGAGCUACACCCAUUUGAAGGGUGAUGACGUUAAGUCGUUGUUCUUACUUUGUGGUAUGAUGAGCUAUUGUGAUAUUUCAUUGAAUCGCUUGUUUCAAUAUUGUAUGGGUUUGGAUUUCUUUGACCACAUGGAGCCAUUGGAACAAGCAACAAAUAAACUAGUUACAUUGGUGGAAAUCCUCAAAGCCUCAGGCUUGUUACUUGAUAGUCAUAAAGAGAGACACAAUUUUGAUGGAAAAAGAGCUUCAAGUUUGCUUUUCAUGGAUGCUGAUAACAAGUUUGUGAGGAUGCACGGUGUUGUUCGUGAAGUUGCCAGAGCAAUUGCAUCCAAGGAUCCUCAUCCAUUUGUAGUUAGAGAAGAUGUUGGAUUGGGAGAAUGGUCAGAGACUGACGAAUCCAAAAGGUGCACUUUCAUCUCUUUGAAUUGCAGAGCUGUGCAUGAGCUUCCUCAAGGGUUGGUAUGUCCAGAACUUCAAUUUUUUCUAUUGCAUAACAAGAAUCCUUCCUUGAAUAUCCCAAACUCAUUUUUUGAAGCAAUGAAAAAACUCAAAGUUCUAGAUUUGCACAAAAUGUGUUUUACAACACUACCUUCAUCCUUUGAUUCCCUUGCAAAUCUCCAAACAUUGCGUCUAAAUGGGUGCAAGUUGGUAGACAUUGCUUUAAUUGGAAAGCUAACGAAACUACAAGUUCUUAGCUUGGUGGGUUCUACAAUCCAACAAUUGCCUAAUGAAAUGGUGCAAUUGACCAAUCUAAGGCUGUUGAAUUUGAAUGAUUGCAAGGAGCUCGAAGUAAUUCCACCAAAUAUCUUAUCAAGCCUGUCUCGAUUAGAAUGUUUGUACAUGACUUCUAGUUUUACUCAAUGGGCGGUUGAAGGUGAAAGCAAUGCUUGUUUAUCCGAGCUAAAUCAUUUGUCUUAUUUGACAACUUUAGGUAUAGAUAUACCAGAUGCCAAUUUGCUACCAAAAGGCAUUUUAUUUGAGAACUUGACAAGAUAUGCAAUAUUUGUAGGCAAUUUCCAGAGGUACGAAAGAUAUUGUAGAACCAAAAGAGUGUUGAAGCUUAGGAAAGUCAAUAGAAGCUUACAUUUGGGGGAUGGAAUUAGCAAGUUGAUGGAGAGAAGUGAAGAACUAGAGUUCAUGGAAUUAAGUGGUACUAAAUAUGUUCUUCACUCAUCAGAUAGGGAAAUUUUUCUUGAACUGAAGCAUCUUGAAGUUAGUAGUAGUCCUGAGAUUCAAUAUAUCGUUGAUUCAAAGGAUCAACAGUUUCUACAACAUGGUGCCUUUCCUUCAUUGGAGUCAUUGGUUCUUAGGAGACUGCGUAACUUGGAAGAAGUAUGGUGUGGCCCAAUUCCAAUAGGGUCUUUUGGUAAUUUAAAAACUCUGCAUGUGACUUUUUGUGGUGAAUUGAAAUUUCUCUUUUUUCUUUCCACGGCUAGAGGCUUUUCCCAGCUUGAAGAAAUGACAAUAGAAAAUUGCUAUCUCAUGCAACAAAUAAUUGCAUAUGAAACAGAGUCAGAAAUAAAAGAAGAUGGACAUGUUGGGACCAACUUGCAACUAUUCCCAAAAUUGCGAUCCUUGAGACUCGAGAGGCUACCACAACUCAUCAACUUCAGCUCUGAGUUAGAAACAUCUUCCACAUCUAUGAGCACAAAUGCAAGGUCGGAAAACUCAUUUUUCAAUCAUAAGGUAUGUUAAAACUUAUUAACCAAUUUCUUUGGUUUUAUUUAUUUUUUUACAUGGCUUUACAUCAAUAUAAGUCAAAGGAAAAAACUAAGGUGGUCCCGCAUGCCCUUUCCAAACUCCACCAUGUUAAACUUAUUUGAGCAUUUAAAUUUAAAUAAUAUAAAAAUAAUUAAUAAUAUAUAAAAUAUGAAGAAGUUGAAAACUAAUAAGGUUAAAAGAAAUUUUAAUUUUAAACACAUUAAAUAUUAAUAGGAAUGAGUAUAAAAAUAAGGAAAAACUAUAAGUAUUAUUUUACUUCAAAAAAGAAAAAAAUUCAAGUUAAUAGGAAUAAAUAUAGAAUAAAUUUAGGAGUGAAAUCGUUGUAAUCUUUUAAAAGAAAAAGGAAAUUUUAAAAAGGCAUUAACAAGAAUUUAUUAAUGGGAGAAAAUAAAAGAGUGCAUGUGAUUUAAAAUAAUAAAUUAUUUAUAUGAAUAAAAUUAUUUUGUGGCAUGAGAAUCCCUUAUCAUUUCAUUUUAAAAAAAUAUAUAAUUAAAGUAAACUUGUGAAUAAUCCUAAGUUAAUGAAUUAUAUUUAAGGAAUAUGUUUAUGUUUAUCACAAAUUUCCAAUUGAUGAUGUUAUAUUAUAUUAUAGGUUUCAUUCCCUAACUUAGAGGAGUUGAUACUCAAUGAUCUAUCCAAAUUGAAGAAUAUAUGGCAUCAUCAACUUCUAUUUGGAUCCUUUUGCAAUCUACGGAUCUUAAGGAUGUACAAAUGUCCAUGUCUACUCAAUCUUGUCCCAUCUCAUUUGAUACACAACUUCCAAAAUUUAAAAGAGAUAGAUGUGCAAGAUUGUGAACUCCUAGAACAUGUUCCUCAAGGAAUUGAUGGAAAUGUUGAGAUCCUCUCAAAGUUAGAAAUCUUGAAGUUGGACGACCUGCCUAGGUUGAGAUGGAUUGAAGACGGGAAUGAUAGCAUGAAAUAUAUUUCCUCUCCUCUGACACUCAUGAAUAUUCAAAACUUCAAAGAACUACAUAUCACUAAUUGUAGAAUGGAAGACUUAUAGAAGAUGUAGUACUCUUUUGUGAAAAGGUUAGUUUUCUCCCAUACUUUUUAUUUUUCUCUCUCAUACUUUUUAUUUCUUCUUAUACUAUUUUUUGGAAUUAUUGAAAAAUAUAUUCUAUAAAAAAAAAGUAUGAAGAUUAUAUUAAUGUUUAAUAAUAAAUUAUUAAAUUAAAAAAUUUAUUUAAUUUUAAAUAUUUUUCAUAUAAAAGAUUAAUUAUCAUUCCUCCAAAAUACAAUCAAAUCACCCUUAUUUAAAAAAAAUUAUAGAAUUUAUUUUUAAUAGAUUAAAAAAAUUGUGAAUAUUCUAGCUCUUUACAUUCAUAAUAAUUAACUCCCUUUAUUUUCAUCUAAUUUAACUAAAUAAUACACCUUUUUUACAAUGAAAAAACCUUUGGUAAUUUAAAUUAGUAUAGUAUGCGAAUGAUAUAAUAUAAGUUUAUGAUAAGUAUAACUUUCAAUAUGAAUACUAAAAAAGGAACAAUAUUUUGUAUGUUUACUAUUAACAUGUAAUAAUAAAUUUUAUUAAUUAAAAAUUAUUUUCAAAUAAUAUAAAAAAAUAAAUAAUAAAUAAAAUAUAAAUGAAUUGAAAAACAAGAUUAAAGAAAUUUUAAUUCUAAAAAACAUUAAAUAUUAAUAGGAUGAAGGUAGAAUCCAUCUUUUUAUCUAGAAGCAAGAAUGUUUUUUUUUUCUUUCUUUCUAAUAUAUUCUACAAACACUAUAGCUAAGUUUUACCUUAUUAAUAUUGAAAUGGAAUUAUUUUCUUUUGUUCUUAUCAUUUUCAUUUUUUUAGGUUUACUAGUUUUGCUCUAUAUUUUCCUUUAUUUAUAUUGAAAUGGUAUCAUUCCUAUUUGUUCUUAUUAUUUUCAUUUUUUUAGGUACACUAGAUUUAAUAUAUGUUUUGCUCUAGUUGAGAUGAAGUGUAAAUGCAACAUUUGUAAAAGAAAUUGUUAAUGAUGUUUGCGAAAUUGUCAAUGAUGUUUCCUUCAAUUGUUUCCUUCAUUUGAAAGAGUUUAUUUUUUCAAACACAUGCUAGAUUUUCAUAUGCAUUUUGUUCUAGUCAUUGUCAUAUUCCUAAUAAAAUGUGUUUGCUAAGUGUGUGGUCUUGCAUAAUAAUGAAAGUUCUAAUUUAUCAGUUUUCAACUUCUUGUAUUGCCUAUGUUAACAUUUCAUAAAUUAUGAAAUAAAUGUGAUAAAAGAAUCUUUUUCAUUUGCUAAAUUUAUGUAUAUUCUGAGUAAAUUUUUAAUCAUGUCUUAAAUUAUAAAAUAUUGCUUUCAAAGGUGAAAUAUGAAAUUGUGAAAAUUCAUUAAAUAUGAUCUAAUAAUAAAUAAAGGAUUCAUAACAUCAUUUGAUAGGGUGUUCAAAGUUUAGCUUGACAUAUAAUUUUAGUCAAAUAUAUUCAAGAAUGCCUUGUGAAGACAAUUGUUAAGAGUAAAAAUCUCUUUAUUUAUUCGAUGAGUCUAAUUGACUAGAAUAUUUUUCUUGGAUGAUCGACCUCAAAUAACAUGAUCCAAAUGACUUUUUCACUUGUAUGCUCAUUGUUAAGAAUCCAUCCAUUUUAUGUUUGGAUGGUUAUUGAUUGCUAGGAAAAUCAAAUUCACUUGCAAAUUGCUUAAUUAUGAUAUCUAAUCAUGUAACCAAAGUGACAAUAUUCUAAAGCAACCUCCAAGUCUUUCGAGGGUUAUGAAAGGUCUACUUGAAAAAUAAAUAGAUAAAUAGGACUAGCAACCUGUCAAUUUGACCAUCUAGUGAUUUAGGCUUUAGAUGACACCACAUCGAAUUUAGAAUGAUUUGGUAAUAACGUUAUGUUAGAGGGACGCCAUAUGUUGUCCUAAGUGUAAUUCAGAAUUUGCAUGCAUUAAGUGAAAAAUUCACGAGUCUUCUUUCGUGUUUAUUAUUCUAAACUUCAUGUUCUAAACAACAUUAUUAUGAAACUUAAGCCAUUUCACCAAAAAGAAAGAAAACUUGAUAUCCAUGAUCCAAGAAUAACGGAAUAACACAUGAUAAGUUGAUACUUAAAUACUUUAACCGUCUAAUGUUUCUUAUGAAAAUAUAUCUUUUUAUCUCUUUCCAUUGUAGAUACUACCAAAAGAAUAAGAUAUGGUCACGUAGUUUUAGAAAGGGUUAACAAAAUUCGCAGCUAAAAAGUAUAUAUAACCUCACAGCUGUGGGAUGAAAUUGGGCGCCACUAUAAAUAUCCUAUUGCUGUGGGAUGAAAUUGGCCGCUACCAUAUAUGGCCCCAUGGACGCCACUAGGCCGCUACCAUAAAACCCAUAUACAAACUGCAACAUUUCUCCCCUGCUCACCCUCAUUGCCAAACCCACUUCUCUCCUGCCUACCAUUGAUUGCCAAAGCCAUUUCUUCUUUCAUCAUUGUCGGUACCAAACUCGUUCUUUUUCUCUCUCUCUUGCAAUAGUUGGCUGAUUCUUCAAGCAUUGCGACGCGGCUGGUAUUUUUUUCUUUCAACAUUGUCAUUUUAUUUUAUUUUUUAUUUUUUCGAUUUCACUCUUAUUUUCUACCAUAGGGUUUUCUGUAGGGUUUCGAAUUGCUAGGGUUUCAAUUUACCAGAGGAUUUGGACGCUUUUCAAGUAUGACUUAUCCAUUUUUUUGUCCACUGAGUACUGUAGAAAUUUCGAUUUAGACGUUUUCUAGCUGAUUUUCGUUCCCUUCUUGUGGAUUGAGAUAAGCUCUUAAGUUUGAUGAUUUCUCAAAGAUGCUGUUGGUGUAAUUUGAAGCCCUAAACGUAGGUAUGAAAAUUCCACCUGAGAGUGCCCUAAAAGGCUUUACUGGGUUAGACAGGAAAGGUAUGAAGAUCAUCCACCUACUUGGAUAUCAUUGAAACAUAACUUUUGGGGAAAUCAAGCCUAACUUGAACUUGAUUCAACCUUGCACCUAUGCUUCUAGGAAAAUUAUUGAUUUUGUGAAUGGGCUGUGUUGACUUGGUCUACGGAUGUUUGAUGUUCCGUUUUUUUUUUUUCUCUGGAAAAAACUAGGCCAUGAUGUGUGUAUUUGAUGAAUUAAUUCAACAUAUUUGGUUGGUUGAUUGGGUAAACCUUGUUCUGACCUAAUUUAAUAAAAAUCCUAAAUCUAUUAGGUAAUAUUAUUGCUGGAUGUAACAUAUAUGAUAAGAGUUAUUCUCCAGUAUUUUCUAAUUUGGAUAAGGUAUGAGACAUGAAAACAAUUUGAUGGAAACCUUCUGAAUCCCAUUCUGUUGUGCUUGUUUCUUGUGUUAUGUUGUUUACCCCUUUUUAAUUUUUUUUUAUUUCUUUGCCAAAUAAGGUGAGAAAAAAGGACCUCAAGUUUGUAGCUCAUUUUUACAAAUUGUUUAAGGCACUGGCUUCUCACCUAUGGAUGUUGAUGCCCUUUGCUCUGUUUCUUUUAUCCUUUUGUUGUUGGUUUUAUGGCUACUAGAAUUUGUUGACAUUGCUGUUACUAGAUGCUACUUUGGGCAUAUUGUUUUAGCAAGUUACCAAGUUUGUUGGAUUCUCCUUUAUGUUCUCUAGUUUGGAAACUAAGACAAGUAUCAAGAACGGGUAUCAAACCCCUAUUUCUUAUCCCUUCUCAAUUGAGACAAGUAUCAAUUUACUGGUGACCCUUUUCCAUAUGGAUUUCUAAUGCUAAAAUUGACCUCUUCCAUAUGUAAAGUUUGAUUGGUGUCUUAAUCCCAAAAGUUCAUCGAAUAACUCAGACACUACUAUUGAAGUAUAUCGUUUCAAAUAUAUCCUUAUGCCAGCUCACAUUAAAAGAAGAUAGGGUAGGGAGGAAGAACCCCAAAUUUAAUUGUGACACCAGCCUAGCCAUUACCAUAUAAGAUGAGCCAAAAAAGGCGUUCAAAAUCACAUGUGAGCUGUUAAUUCAUCAUGCCACUCAAAUCUGCUCAUCAUUUCUCACUUGUGACGUGAAAAAUCUGUAUUUAUGUAUGUAGCUUUAACAGGAAACCGUUUGCCUACACUACUAUCCAAGCCAAAUUUCAGAGAGACAAAUUCUAGGAAUACAAGUAGGGAACUUAAUUUGCCUUCAUCAAGCUCCCUUAUAUUUGGAAGGAUAAAAAUUAUGUAUGACGCUUGAUAAUUAAUUAUUUUAAAAAUCACUUUAUUAAUUUUAGAAUAUGUCACUAAAAAUACUAUUACAAAUUUACAAAGUACUUUUUCUAAUUUAUAUUAUAUUAAUUGAUUCUUAAAUUUUAAUAGAAGUGUGAUUGAAAAAGAAAAUAGUAGCAACUGAAGUGGUUGGUAAAAUAUAAGCAAAUACUAGACAAUAAAUUAUUACUUUCAAAUUAUAUUUUUGUAUAUUAUUGCUGGACAGGAAAAAUCUUAUUGCUUCUUAGGUAUGUCUUACCAAGGUAAAUGAGAAAAUCUAAUCAAGUAGUUAUCUCUUUUGCAUGUGAAAGUGUUGGUCAUGUAGUCAUAUGCAUGGCUAUAACAUGUAGGACAAGAAGCCUUGAACACUUUAGAAUAGUCUGUUGGCAUGCAGGUUUUAGGAGUAUGGAAAUUGGCAUGUUGUAGCCAUCAACUAGGCUAACACCAUAGAAAUCUACUGGUUUGUCAAGGGUAUACUCUGCUAGUGUUGCAACCGCUGUAGUAGAUAGCAGGUGUAGAAGUCACCAAUGAUCCAUACCGUAAGCCCAUUUGCAUGGUUUCAAAAGCACAUAUCAGACAGUACUAGAUCAGGAGCACUGACAAUUUAUAUUUUCUGGAAAGAUGAAUUCUGCUAAUCCGCAGGAAAUAAUCUAGCAGAACUCUUCCAUUUUUAAUAUUAUCUAGUAUUAAAGUAACCAACAAGCAUACUUUAGUCCCCAUUUAGUCUGGUUCUCAAAAUUGCAGCAUGCAACAUGGUAUGCCAUUGCUAAAACUUCAUUAGACUAGAUUGACUUGUUCACUAGAUGAUCCUGGUUCAGUUCUGAGGUUUCUAAUGGGCCACCAAAGAAGACUCCUCACCUGAAAAGGCAUCUAGUACUUUGGAUUUUGGUAUGCUUGAAGAUCACUUACUCCAGUCAAGUUUAGUCGGUAAUAGACCCUGAGGAAGAAUGGCCUGCAAACAAUAUGAUGGAGCAUCAAUAGUUGAGGAAGAAUGGCCUCUGUUUGGUAAUUGUUAAGGCAUUCAGCAUGAAACAAACUAAUAAUCUUUAUGGGUAAAUGAUUUUGUUUUGAUAUUGAUGAAUUGUAGCCUUGUCUUUACCUGAUGUGAACUCCUAUCCUCCAUUGUUUUGAAUAUCUUAAGAUAAUAUCAAGCUGAAUAGAAAGAUGGGAGCAUAGUGGAGUGUCUAGGAUCCAUGCCCCUGGUGUUUUUGGAGUGAGCAUUGGAGAAGAAUUAGUUUCCUGGCCUACUGUCUAAACAUUGAAGGUAGGAUUCAUUUGCUCAGGAAUCUGCUACCUGCUCCCUUAAGAUGAAUUAAAAGGAUGUAUCUUUGAGGCGGGAAGCCUGGAAGGCAAGGCAUACAAUUGAUAUAAGCAUAACAAUAAACUUUUUGAAGAUGUUUAAAUUAUGAUAUUGGAAAUUAGUUUGGACCAAAAUAUUCAUGGCUAGUCAUUAUAAAUAUAGGCAUCUGAGAUUGCCCUCAUAUUUUCCAAGUUUCUAAAUUGAUGGUCACCUGUGUGUAGCUGAAUUUCUUUUUGUUAAAAUGCCCUAUGCCAUUGGGUUUAAACCAUAAUUUUGCUAGGGUCUUUCUGCUGUUGCUUAGAGAAACCUAAACAUUCUAGAACUUCAAAGUCCAUUCUCUUUUCUUAAUUGCUUGUCUCUCUCAUUGAACUGUUCCCAUUAAUUUCCCAUGGAAAGUACAGUUCUCCUUGUUACGUCUGUGAUGCGGUAUGGUUUGAAUCUCUCUCUAUUUGUUGAUGCCCACUCUAGGUGAAAGAAACUGCAGAAAAUGCUGAUGAAGCUAUGAGAUAACUUCCAAAUGCUAAUUUGGUAAGGUCCCAGAUUGUUUAAACCAUAUCUUUAUAAAAGAAGUAUAUCUUGAAUAGUAACAACAUUUUUUUCUUUUUUCACGAACCAGAGGAUUUGUGGAUUUAUCAUUCAAAGGUUGUUCUCCCCAAGCCUCAUAGGAAGGAAACUCCACAUGGAGAGCUAUAUAGAAGGUGCAUUGGCUAGAUAAAUAUAACAUGGUACUUAUACCACAUUUUUCUGCAUUCCAUGUUAUUUUCCUGGAUUUUUAUUUUAUUUUAUUAUUAUACUCUAAUUUAACACUAUGCUUUCUUUAUCUCAUUCCUUUACUUAGGUACUCAUUUGCAGAUUCUAGAUGCUGAAGAAUAGAUAGGCCUGAAGCAUUUUAGGCCGGUAAAACCAUUGGGAUCUGGUGACACUGGCGGGUUUAGAUGGUUUUUCUAUUUGUUGCCCAACUUUUUGCCCCAAUUUUGUUGGAAUUAUGUUCUAUCCUAUGGCUCCUAUUUAGGAACCAAAGGAUUUAUUUCCCUUUUAGGCCUAAUUUGACUCCAUUCAUUUCUGGGUGUUGAAAAUUUUUCGUUUUUGAGAAGAUUUGCUUCUGGGUAUUUAUUGUGUGUUGUUUAUCUUGAAGAAACCGCAUCUAUCAGUUGCAAUUUGCUUUUACAGGAGCAAGUUAUAGGCAUGUUUCCUCUUGAUUCUUUCAUUCUCUGUUCCCAUAUAUUUGUGUUCUCGGUUCAUGUUUCAGGAUGAAUCUAUGUUGAUAUGGUACUCUAUCAAAGAAGAGAAACAACUUAAACUAAGCAAUGUUUCAAGAAUUAUUCUUGGACAGUGUACUAUAAGUUUCUAUAAAUCAUAACCUGAGGCAACUUUUAGACCAUUCUUGAAUUCAAACUUACAUCUUGUUCUUAUGUUUUCCAUCUAUUGUUGUAGUUCAUCCAAAUCUCUCCCCACUCAUAUCCACUCUUGAGUUGAGGCCUCUCAACCUUUCAAUGUAUGCCAUUGAUUUUGAGGAUAGUUUCUUCUUAAAAGUUGCAGCUAUAGUGAAUUUUGGUGCUCCAUAACUACUCUUCAGUGUUUACUAGCAUUACUUAUUGUCAGUUCCACAGUAGUAUGACUAAUAUAUUUAUGUGUUUGUGAGAGUUUUUUCAUAUAUACAAAUGGAAUCUUAUGAAGUUAUUCUAGAAGUAAUUUUUUUUUGAAUUUCUAUUGGAUUAUGAUUUGGAUUUAUUUAUUUCUUUUUCUUGGUUGGUUGCACCUUUUGAUUUGCAAGAAAAGAGGAUGAAAAUGAAAAGCUAAAGAUAUUCUUGUUAAUUUAACCAUUUGAUUCUCUUUCAGGCAGAAUAUGAGGGAAAUUUGAAGGGAAUCCUUGGUUACACUAAUGAUGAUGUGAUAUCAAGUGAUUUUGUGGGAGACUUCAUGUCACACCCCAAAUUCUGGGCAACCCAAAAUUUGGCCUAUGACCCCAGGUCAAAGGUUUGACCCUAAGGGUUCCUCCUAAUACACGUUCUGAAAUUAUUUUUAUUUUUCUACGCAUAAUCACACUAAAGCUCCCUCCAAUUAACAAUUCAAUUUAUCAACAUACUAACCACUACUCAAGAGCAAUUAUAUAUAAUAAUGAUCAUUAAAAUCUAGAAAUAAGAGUUCACAAUUGAACAAAUUAAUCAAAAUAAAGUCUCAUUACAAAAAUAUAGUUUCAAAGUUUGCUAAUACAAGUCCCAAAAUAGCCAACAUAACAAAUACACUACAAUUCGAUAGGCUGCUCCAAGAUCUCCUAGGGCAUCUUAAAGUCCUCCUUACCUCACCUAUGGAUCCUCAGGAGUUACAUCUACAUCUAAAAAGAUGUAAAAAGAAAGGGGUGAGCAUUCCACAUUGCUUAGUAGGAUGUCUUACAUAGGGUGUCUUACACCUAAGGGGUUAAUUGGAAUACUAAGUUCCAAGUGAAUACAAAAGAAACAUUCGACCAGCAUUGGUCAACCCACAUAUUUUAAUUUCUAUAAUUAUAACAAUUCCACAAUUUUCAACAAUUAAAUAAAAUGCAUAUAAAUAUGUGACACACACACUCAUACAAUGCAUUGUCGUUCUCGGGCUUUCAUUGAAUGAUACACGUUCGUACCCAAAUACACUCCCCAUUUGAAGUCUUAUUUUUGGGUCUUUCACCCUUGGGAUCUUUCUCUCUUCUUAAUUUGUCACACAUGAGCCUUUACUGUUCAUUAGUAUUUCAUUUUUCUUCUUUUUUUCAUUUCAUGCACUUUUCUCAAUUUUUAUUUUUUCCUUCACACAACCAUGAUGCAAAUGAAAUGCACUGAGGUCAAUUAUAUUAUUCGCAAAUAUCACAAUAUCAAAUAAAAAUUUUCAACUAGUCUAAAUAUUAUUGAAAUUACAAUCAUACCACAAUUUCAUAAUUUUUCAACAAUCCCAAUAAUUCAAAUAAUCAAAUAUAAUUAUUUUCUCCAUAAUAAAAUUAUCAAAAACAAUAAAAUAAAUUUCCAACAAUUCAAAUCUCAAUUAAACAUAAUUUAUAGCAAAAUUCCAUAAUUUUCUAACAACACCAAUACUCCAAUAAUCAAAUAUAAUUAUCUUUCCACAAUAAAAUUGUCAAAAAUAUUCCAAUAAAUUAUCAAAAAAUCCACAUAUUAAUAAAUUAUAAUUUAUACGACAAUUUCAUUUAUUCUCAACAAUUCCAUUAAUUUUAACAACCCAAAUGCAAUCAUUUAUCGAUCAAAAAAAAAAAAAAAUUCGUCAGCACCAAAUUUUCAAAAAUAUUCCCAAAUCAUCUAAUCAAAUUUCCUAUAUCACAAAUAUUACCUAUUUAUCUCCUAACAACAAAAUUUAUAAUCUUUUUCAAGAAAAAAAAUAUUUAAUUAAAGUUUUAGGGUUAAGUUUCCUUACCACAGUUCUACCAAUUGGACCGUUGAAAACAAAAUCAAUCAUCAUAGAAACGUUCCUUGCAUUGAGUAGAACUCUCCCGCAAAAUUCCAUGUGAAACAUAUCUCGUUUGACUGUCCAAAUGGUCGGCUAAAGGCAACGGCACUGUGACUCUCCCUAUCGCCACCAAGACCCCUGCCCUUUCUGCCACUUCUCUUUUCCUUUUCUCCUUCCCCUUUUUCAUUUCUUAUUCAUUUUGCCUUUAAGCCUCUCAGCCACUAAAUGACCCAUGACCCAACACCAUUCAAAGCCUUUGAAUUAUUGAUUUCUUGUUUUGUAUUUUUUUUUUCUUUUUCAAUUCAUUUCCCUUUCUUUUCUUAAUUCAUUUUUCAUUUCACUUCAUUUUCAUUCAUUUUUUUUUCUAACAACACACGAAAUAAAUUAACAAACACUAUCCUAAAAAAUUUUAACUUUUUCAAAUUUAUUAUUAAGCAAAUUAAUUCAAUUAAAAUUAACUAGAACUAAUUAAGUAAAAAUUAAAUUAAUUUGCAUAAUAAUAAAUUUGAGAAAAUUAAAAUUUUUUGGGAUGAUGUUUGUUAAUUUAUUUUUGUGUGUUGUUAAAAAAAAUGAAUGAAAAUGAAGUGAAAUGAAAAAUGAAUUAAGAAAAGAAAGUGAAAUGAAUUGAAAAAGAAAAAAAAACAAAAGAAAUCAAGAAUUCAAAGGCUUUGAAUGGUGUUGGGUCGUGAGCCAUUCAGUGGCUGAGAGGCUUAAAGGCAAAAUGAAUAAGAAAUGAAAAAGGGGAAGGAGAAAAGGAAAAAAGAAGUGGUAGAAAGGGGAGGGGUCUAGGCGGUGACAGGGAGAGUCAUAGUGCCACUACCUUUGGCCAACCGUUUAGAUAGCCAAACGAGCUACAUUUCGCGUGGAAUUUUGAGGGAGAAUUCUACUCAAUGCGAGAAACGUUUUGUAGACCCCCGGAAGCAGGGACCUUUUUUUUUUAAUUUUAAUUUUUAUUUCCCGGGGCUCGACAUGAUGGGAGAGCUGUGUUUGGGGGCUCUGAAGCUGCAGGGGAGAAGGCAGAGCUUUUGGGGGCUACAGAUGGGACGGGAUACGGUUGGCUUGCGGAGGAAGACAAGAAGAGAAGAAAAACAGAGGGAGAAAAAAAAAAAAAAAAGGAGGAUUCUUCGGGGGGAGAGGAGCUUGCCUGAGGAAGAAGGAAUGCGCAAAGGAGUCACUGUGAAAGAGGCAUCUCAGGUAUUAUUCCUAUAAACUAUUUACUCAUUUUCGUGUUAAUGCCAUUUUUUUCUUUUUGUUAAGAAACUCUGUUUUGGUGUUGGAGCAUGCUCGCACUCACGUUGCGUGUGAUUGCUAACCCGUUCUCAUGGGAUUAUUUUCCGAGUUUUCUUUCUUUCUUUCAUGAGUUGUUGGCCGUCACGACUUGAUUGCUAUUUGCAAACCUUUUGGAAAUUCAUUUGAUACCCAUAUCCUCGUUCCCAUGCAUACGCCUACUUAACCGCAUUACCAAACCCAUUUUUUCCUCUUACCUGUGCAUGGCUUCGCAUGGCCAUCUUGUAUACCCCUUGCCCAUAUUCUCGGACCCAGCUGGAAAAGUGUCACGGGAAAUGAUCUUUGAGGCCUGAGAACAGCCCAGAACCCUUGCCUUGCUGCCCUAGUUGACCACACACUUGUCAAGUGUGGAUGCAAUACCAUGUUCAUAGGGUUGUCGGCGAGGAAGGCUGCCACAUGCGCAUGCGCUAUGAGAGGUGGCCAUGACGAUGAUAACCAGAAUUCUGGGUGUAGAAACACGACACGAAAGUUUGCUCCAUUACCUACUUCCCCCCGCUCAGCUUCAUACCCAUUUCUCUCACAUUCUUGAAUUUCCAUGCAAACGAUGUUCCAUGCACGCAGCUGCCCUUGCCACACUCCAUUUCGUUUGGUCCUCAAGCUCAUCAUGCCAACAUUCCACUUUCUCACACCUCACAUCCAGCAGGAUUUGCUAGCCACAUCCUUGAAUCCCUCAUCCACCACCUUCGGUCUCUCCAACAACGACUCAUUGGUGGACGCCUUCAACGGGGUCUCCGUCCUCUAGGAGCACGUCGUGACGCAGCGGCAGUCACUGACCUCCUCGCGGCAGCAACUCCGCCGUCUCGGCGCCGCCCUCAAAGCCGCCACCCCUUCCCUCUCCUCUACGUCGUUGCUGGUGGAGGCCUCGCCUGAGGGAGCUGCCCAGAUGGAUGGGGGUUGCCUUGGGCUGUGAAGGAGCUCGUGUUGGUGACGGGCUUGGUGCUGCCCAUGAUGGCUAGUGGGCUUGAAGACUUAGGUGUUUUUGUUAGUGGCUUUGGGCUUGUGAUGAAGCCCAAGCCCAAGCAGGGAGAUGAAGAAAAUAAUGAGGAAAAGAAGACCUCACUGAUUUAUUGGCCCAUUCUAAAAUUGGCCCAUUGGCUUGCUCCCACUUUAUACGAAUCACUUUCUUUAAAGCACUAAUUUCCUAAUAAACUUUCUAACUUCCAAUUUCAAAGCCUAAUUUAUAAAAAUUCAACCUUCAAAUAAUAUUUCAAAAUUCCGAUCUUUAAAAUUCAAUUCCAAUUUCCGAAAAUUCUCAUACUCAUUUUAAUCUAUUUAAUUAUUAUUAUUUUAUGUAUUUAUUUUAAAAUUCCAUUUCAAACAAUUCUUUAAAAUUUCCGAAUUUCAAAUUUAAUUUCUAUUUCUGAAAAUUCCAAUAUUCACCUCAAUUUAUUUAAUUAUUAUUAUUUUAUUUAUUUAUUCUAAAAUUCCAUUUUAAACAAUUCAUUAAAAUUUCCACUUUCAAUUUUAAUUUCUAAUUCCAAAAAUUCCAAUAUUCACAUUAAUCUAUUUAAUUAUUUUAUUUUAUUUAUUUAUUCUAAAAUUCCAUUUUAAACAAUUCUUUAAAAACUUUCGAAUUCCGAAUUUAAUUUCUAUUUCUGAAAAUUCUAAUAUUCACUUUAAUCUAUUUAAUUAUUAUUAUUUUAUGUAUUUAUUCUAAAAUCCCAUUUUAAACAAUUCAUUAAAAUUUCCGACUUCCGAUUUUAAUUUCUAAAUUCCAAAAAUUCCAAUAUUCACAUUAAUUUAUUUAAUUAUUAUUAUCUUAUUUAUUUAUUCUAAAAUUCCAUUUUAAACAAUUCAUUAAAAUUUCCGACUUCCAAUUUUAAUUUCUAAAUUCCUAAUCUCGAAAAUUCACGUAUUCCCAUUAAUUUAUUUAAUCAUCAGUAUUUUAUUUAUUUAUUUUAAAACUCCAAUUUAAAUCAAUUCUUUAAAACUUCUGAUUUCCGAAUUAAAUUCCCAAUCCCAAAAAUUCCCAUAUUCCCAUUAAAUUAUUUGAUCAUUAGUAUUUCAUUUGUUUAUUUAUUUCAAAACUAUAUUUUAAUACAAAUUCUUUAAAACCGCUGAUUUUCGAAUUAAAUUCCCAAUCCCAAAAAUUCCCAUAUUCCCAUUAAAUUAUUUGAUCAUUAGUAUUUUAUUUAUUUAUUUAUUUCAAAACUUAAUUUUAAACCAAAUUCUUUAAAACCACUGAUUUUCGAAUUAAAUUCAUAAUCCCAAAAAUUCUCAUAUUCCCACUAAAUUAUUUGAUCAUUAGUAUUUUAUUUAUUCAUUUAUUUCAAAACUCUAUUUUAAAUCAAAUUCUUUAAAACCGCUGAUUUCCGAAUUAAAUUCCUAAAUCCGAAAAUCCCCAUAUUCCCAUUAAUUUAUUUAAUCAUUAGUAUUUUAUUUAUUUAUUUAUUUCAAAACUCCAUUUUAAAUCAAAUUCUUCAAAACUUCUGAUUUCCGAAUUAAAUUCCUAAUCCCGAAAAUUCUUAUAUUCUCAUUAAUUUAUUUAAUCAUUAGUAUUUUGUCUCCAUUUUAAAUCAAUUCUUUAAAACUUCAGAUUUACAAAUUAAAUUCCUAAUCCUGAAAAUUCUCAUAUUCACAUUAAUUUAAUCACUAAUAGUUUGUUUAUUUAUCUUAAAAUUCUAUUUUAAACAAUUCUUUAAAAUUUCUGACUUCUAAAUCUAAUUUCUAAUUUCAAAAAUUCCAGCAUUCCCAUUCAUUUAUUUAAUCAUUAUUUUCGUCCUUAUUAUCAUUAUUCCAUUUAUUUAUUUCAAAAUUUCAUUCUUAAACAUUUUUUUUGAAUCCCAAUUUCCGAACUUAAUUUCUGAUUUCUAAAAUUCUAAAUCCAAUUUUCUCUCUAACAGUUUUAAUUCUCUUCGGGUUUCAAAUAAUCUUUGAUUUCUCUUGAUUUUAUAUAAGCAUGAAUGCUAUUUUCAUAAUUUCAGAAUAAUGGAAUUUGUGAGACUAAUUCGUGCAAAAUAGAAUGGGCUUUGGUGGGGGCCCCACAUAUGAGAUUUCAUGAUUGAUUGACUGAUUGAUCGAUUCAUUUGCCAUGUGUGAUCGAUUUAUUUUGUUCCUUGAUAUACAUAUAAUCAUUUUGCGUUUAUUCACUAACCUCAUUCCAUGAUAGCGCGUUGCUGUUUGCUGCCCAGGUACGCAUUCACUCAUUCUGAUCAUUCACUAUACAUAUUCUGAUUCUCAUAUAUGCAUGAUUGAUGUGAGUAUCCAUUGACUUUCUUAUUCGAUUGUCACACCAGUUUCACUUUAUUAGUAGAGACCCGACUUUAGGGACUUAGAGGGGUGCUACGGUCUCUACCGUACCUUCCCGAUAAGUAAUCUGACCCGGUUUUUCGCAGACCGCCUUUUUCAAAAUAAGGAGUCACACUUAGGGUUUUUCUUUCUUAUUUUGUUUACCCUUUAAAAAUAAAACAAAAAUAAGUGGCGACUCCAAGUCAUUUUUUCUUAAUCAAAUAAAAUCAUUUUUCUAACAAAAAUCGAGUUCGCCAUCGAGUGGGAAACGCAUUGAGCCGAAAUGCGGGGUCCACACGUUUCUACGCUGGUUGAUUUUGUUUUCAACGAUUUGAUUGGUAGAUCUGUGGUAGGGAAACUUAACCCUAAAACUUUAAUUAAAUGUUUUUUUCUUGAAAAAAAUUAUAGAUUUUGUUGUUAGGGGUUAAAUAGGUAAUAUUUGUGAUAUAGGAAAUUUUAUUGGAUGAUUUGGGAAUAUUUUUGGAAAUUUGGUGAUGACGAGAAUUUUUUUUUUGGUUGAUAAAUGAUUACAUUUGAGUUGUUAAAAUUAAUGAGAUUGUUGAGAAUAAAUGAAAUUAUGGUAUAAAUUAUAAUUUAUUGAUAUGUGGAUUUGUUGAGAAUUUAUUGGAAUAUUUUUGGUAAUUUUAUUGUGAAAAAAUAAUUAUAUUUGAUUAUUGAAAUUAUUGGAGUUAUUGGAAAAUUAUGGAAUUUUGUUAUAAAUUAUGUUUAAUUGAAAUUUGAAUUAUUGAAAAUUUAUUUGGUUGUUUUUGGUAAUUUUAUUGUGGAGAAAAUAAUUAUAUUUGAUUAUUGGAAUUAUUGAGAUUGUUGGAAAAUUAUGAAAUUGUGGUAUGAUUGUAAUUUCAAUGAUAUUUGGACUAGUUGAAAAUUUGUAUUUGAUAUUGUGAUAUUUGUGAAUGAGAUAAUUGACCCUAUUGCAUUUUAUUUGCAUUAUGGUUGUGUGAAGGAAAAAAUAAAAAUUGAGAAAAGUGCAUGACAUGGAAAAUGAAGAAAAAUGAAAUAGUAAUGAAAAGUAAAGGUCCAUAUGAGGCGAAUUAAGAAGGGAGAGAGAUCCCUAGGGUGAAAGACCCAAAAAUUUACCCUGAAAAGACUCCGAAUGGGGAGUGUAUUUGGGUAUGAACGCGUAUCAUUCGGUGAAAGCCCAAGAACGACAGUGCAUUGUAUGACUCUGUGUCAUAUAUCCAUAUGCAUUUUAUUUAAUAGUUGAAAAUUGUGGAAUUGUUAUAAUUAUACAAAUUAAAAUAUGUGGGUUGACCAAUGCUGAUGAAAUGUUUCUUUUGUGUUCACUUGGAACUUAGUAAUUCCAAUUAACCUCUUGAGUGUAAGGCACCCUACUGAGCAAUGUGGAAUGUUCACCCAUUUCUUUUUACAUCUUUUUAGAUGCAGAUGUGACUCUUGAUGAUUCACAGGUGGGGCAAGGAGGACUUCAGGAUGCCCCAAGAGAUCUUGGAGCAGCCUAGUGGAUUGUAGUGUAUUUGUUAUGUUGGUUAUUUUGGGACUUGUAUUAGUAAACUUUGAAACUAUAUUUUUGUAAUGAGACUUUAUUUUGAUUAAUUUGCUCAACUGUGAACCCUUAUUUAUAGACUUUAAUGAUUAUUAUUAUAUCUGGUUGCUCUUGAGUAGUGGUUAGUAUGUUGAUAAAUUGGAUUGUUAAUUGGAGGGAGUUCUAGUGUGAUUAUUCGUAGACAAAAAAAAAAAAAUUCAAAGCGUUUUGGUUGACUACUAGUGUGGAUUAGGAGGAAUCCUGGGUUAAACCUUUGACCCGGGGUCAUGAGCCAAAUUUUGGGUCGCCCAGAGUUUUGUGACACUGCAGGUGAGGCAAAUCUUAAAUCAAUGCUUUGUCUAUUCUGCAAGUGAAUUGUACAAUGAACUGCCCUUUGGCAGGUUGAGUAUUUUUUAUGCCAAGGCUAGAAUUUCUAAUGACAACUUUAUCAAGUUGGUCUCUUGGUAUAUAAUGAAUGGGGUUACAAGUAAUUUUCACAGAAUGUUCAUAAUUUAAGCCAGUUGUUAUAAAUGAUGAAUAUAUAGUUAAAUGAACUACUUCCAAUGUGCUGCUCAACUUCAUUUUUUGAUGAUUCAAAUAUGUAAAUGUAAAUCGAUCACACUUGCAUCAUUGUUCAGGUUGCAUUUUCUGAAUACCUAUAAAAAUUAAAAAAUAAUGUAGCUUUUCUAUUUAUGUCUUAAAGUUGGUUAAGAAGAAGAUAGAAUAGCAGUCCAGUGGUAAUAGUUGGAGCAAAAGAUGAUUGACUAUAGAAGACAUUGAUUCGAGUUUGGUGUUCAUGUACACACCUGUAACAGAGAGGGUUCUUAAAGGAGAAGCGCAAUAUAAACAUACAGAUUUUGUAAAAGCAGGUGUGAGGUAGAUGAAAUUUGUGCUACAUAUUCCUAAUAGAUCUGUGGAGUCAUGAUUUUACAGACAUGCUAGCAUGCUAUUGUAACUGUUUCUAAACCUUAUCUGGUUUUAGAAAAUGCAUGAGAUAUCUUUUUGGAAGUGUUCUCUUUGUCAAUGGACCAUAAUCUCCAUUAGUGUUACUGUGUUUCGACUUUUUAUUGAAGAAGUGUACAACAAGUUGACUGUAGCAAUUAGUUCAGUGCUAGCAUUUUCUUCCCAGCAUUACUGGAUCUAAUAAGAACUUUUAUCGGAAUGUGCAAAAUCAUUAGGCUAUAUACAAUAAGCAGCAUUUGAAGUUCUAUAUAUGGUUAUCUGAUGAUUGUUUCAAACCAGAACACCAGAUUAAUCCAGUACUGGUACUCCAUUUUCAAUCGAAAAAUAGGGAUUUCCACCAGAAUUGAAUUAAUUACUUUGUAUUGUGUUUCUUUUAUCUCUAUCUGCUACUUUUGUAUCUGUCAUUGAUCAAUCCAUGUGUGAUAUUCUACAUCCUCUUAUCUAAUGGAAUCAGAAUGAAAUCUGUGUACUGAAAAAAUAAUUCCUUUCCUUUUUUAUUUUUUGGCAGUGGUGCCAAAGAUGUUGCUUAACUGGUUGUCCACUUAGGGUGUUUAGCCUGAACACCGGGAGGUUCAACCCAGAUGUAGCAUCCGCAUUGAAUGCAUGUUUCCAGACGCUACUGAAGUUCAGGGCUUGGUGAGUGUCGUUGUGUGAGGAAAGUGAGACCUCAUCUUCUAGCUGGCAAAAUUCAAUUUGUAAAUGUUAGUCUCAUUGAUGUUGUUCUCAACUACAGUAUGUAGUUUUUGCAAUAUGAUGUGGUUGCAUUUAUUCUUACUUUUGGCUAGCGCUAUUGGCCCCCACCAUAGACCCCUUUUCUCUUAUAGUGAGAAUUGAAUAAAAAGUUCAUUAGUUAUUGUUAAAUAAAAAAUUUAAAAUAAGAUUAAGACUAAUAUAAAAACAAAAUAUAAAAUUCCCACCUGAAAAUAUAAAAUAAUAUUUGAAAAUUCAUCACUCUAUUAAUUCUUAUCUUUUGUUUAUCUAAUCCUUCUUCAACUUCUAUUUCCCUAUUUAAUUUUUUUUAAUUACAAACAAAUUAAAAUUUUGUAGGAUUGUAAUUUAAAUAUUCAACUCGAAUAAUUUAUAUUACUAUAAAGUAAAACUUUUUAAAUUGGUUAACAUGGAAAGGAAAUUAAUAAAAACAUUACUAUUAAACAAAUUAAAUUAAAAAAAAAGAAGUUAAGCCUUAAAAAUUAUGAGAAAUAAAAUUUAGAUUAUGAAUUCAUAAACAAAAAAUAAAAACCAAAAGUUAAGCAAAGAAAUGAAGUUAGGAUAAUAGAUUAUGAAAAAAAAAAUGAAGAUAGUAAAAAGAUGAGUAUAGAGAAAUGUUAUAUUUAAGCUAGAGACUAUAAAAUAAACUUAUUUUCCCAUUUUUAUUUAUUUUUUGAAUAAAAAUGAGCUUCUACUAAGAAUAAUGAAGUUUUUACCUUUAAUUAUAUGUCACAUUUGUUUAAUUUUCUUAAUAAAUCAAUUAGAAAUAGAAAGAGAUCGAUGCAUAAGAAAUUGAUAAAUUAAUAAUGAGAAAUAAAUAUUUUAUUUUUACAUUUUUAAUUUUUAUUGUAUUUUAAUCAUUUUUUAUUUUAUUUACUCAAUUUAAUAAUGAAAAUAGAUUUUAAAAAAUGAGAAAUUUUAUUAAAAAAUUAGUAUAAUCCAAAAUGUCAAAAAUCAGAUUGGAAAAUCAUUUUUAGGCCUCAAAAUUGCUCAAAAUAGACUCAGAAAACAAGCCUCUAACAUAUACAAGGAUGGCCAUCAAAGCAUACAUGCAAUACCCACACUUAAGACAUUUUAAUUAAUUCAAAUUGAAUUUGUUGAUGGUCCCAUCACACGUAGCCCGAUAUUUUCUUUACCUCCAUCUUCAUGCACUCUUUUGUUCAAUCCCCAAAUGCAAUCUUUUUUACUUAUAUCUCGUAGUUUUCUGCUUGUAGGAGAAGGGAAAAGUGUUUAGCCCAAGGGUGGGAGGGUGGACUCUCAUGUCAUAAACCCAUCUCACGAGUUUGGUUUAUUAGAAAUAAAAGAACAUACAUCCCUAGACCACAAAGUUCAUGCGGUUCAAACAUCCACAAUCAACUUCUAUUUCACAUCUCACACCUAAAACUGGCACACAUUCACUAGUCUAUGUUGUAUGCCUAUGCCUAUGCCAAUACAAAGGUAACAUAGGAUUUCAUUUCAGAAACAAAUAAUAAAAUAGGUACACUAAUAUCUUCCUAACUAUACAUGGGGUUUCCGAGAGACAUGGUUAUCGAUUUCACAUUCCUAUAAAGAUCAAAAUUCAGCAAAAAGUUGAAUAGAGGACUAUCAAGCAAUCUCAACACUAUUCCUGUAUCCCGAUCCAAAAUCACAAGUCUUUAAACUCAUAAUAAUAUAGAACAACAUACCCCAUGACACAUUUAUGACUGAUGAUACCACUUAAAUAAGUCUAAAUUUGUUGAGGUUGAUUAGAAGAGUAACCAAGGUGCUACCAUAUAGCCAUGGUUAGCUAUUUGGCUUACUCUGAACACAUUGGACCCUGAUAUUCAUAGUUUUGUUCCCUAUUUGAUGCACACCAUUCAAACCUUCAUUCUCAAUGCCAAUGCAUAUUAAAUCUUUCCUAUCUCAAUUUCUUUUAUUCAUUCCUUACUAGAUCCAAGCUAUUCCGAAGAGUACCAAAAACACUUGUGAGACAUGCAAUACUAGAGGAAGUUUUAGAUAUAAUUAGGAAAUAACACAAAGGAUUUAAGAUCAUAACAUCAUACAUCCUACCAUAAAGGACAACCUCCUUCCCUUUAUUCUUUCAAUUCUUGAGUCUUAUCUAAGGUUCUCUCAUGCAUGAAAAAACAAAUGUCUUCAACUAUAUGUGCUUACCAUGAGUGUCAAUAGAGCUAGUUAAGCCUUGUAGUCCAAUAACUCCUACACAUAGAUAAAAGAACACACAACUUUAGGGAUAGAUGAAUAAGAUAAAAAAAUCUAAGAUAUGUAAAAAUCUAAGAAAGAAUCCAUAUGCAUCUUUUGAUGAUCCCAAAUAAUAUCAUAGACAAAAUUUAUCUUACAACUGCAUUUAAAGAACAAAUAAUAGUGCAAUCAUUCCGUUUAAUCCCCAUAAUGAUUUGGAAAAGAAAUUCCCUACUAUGGUGGAAAAAAAAAGAAUAAAAAAACAAAAUAUUUGAAAGUACUCAUACUUGAAAUAAUUGUAGCAUGUCAAAUUUUUUAAAUGCUACCAUAACAAAAAUUGCAUAAGAAACAUAGUGAUUUAUUUUAUUUCAUUUCAAAUUACAUAAAACUAAACCCAAGUGCAUGAUUUGAUUUUUAUGUACUAGCCAAAACACCUCCUCUAUCUCUCACUACAAAGGAAAAAAAAAAAAAAUUGCUUAUACCAUAAGCUACUCUACCACCAGCAUUUCCAGUGCCUUUGUUGAGCUCAUAUCCCCAAGAAAAAAUAUAGAAAAGAAACUGUUAUUGCAUGGUAAGAAAGCAAAGAGAUGCUCAAAGCUAAAAUAAAAAUAAAAAUAAGAAAAAUAGGAACACAUAUGUCCAUACUCUAACAAAUUCAAGCCAUUCCCACUUGGGCUAUAUCAGGAGUUACUUUUCCUAACAAUAAAAUUAAACAUACUAAACCAGCCAAGUAUUCUCUUCUAACCGAGUGGUAGUGGUGAUUGGUAAGCAUAUACCAAGGAACCAAUCAACCCUGAUACCAUGGCCUGAAAAACUUAAUAAAGCUCCAGAAACUACAUAUGUGGCUUUUGGAGAUCAUAGUAGAAGCCCAAAAGGGAGUCAGAAUAACUUUAAACCAUAACUCUUAGAACCUGCCUUUGCAAUCACUCACAUCAUAUAUAAUUGUGAUAUCGACACCACCUACUAUUCUGUGAAGAAGCUUUCAGUUCUAAUAAAAUAAAGGCCCAUUUUACCCCUAAUCUGAAGAUGAACUUGGUUAAAAAUUUGAAGUGAGGAUGAAAUGGAUAUUUAAGUUCUCACACAGAUGUCAACCAUGAAAUGGAGAAACUGAAAAUUUUUCAGUUUGCUUUUUUAGGCAGGCUAGGUGUUGAAUCUCAGCUAUAUUUCAUAAAUCUCACAACAGGUUUCUAUUAUUUAACUUAGAAUCACCCAAUCUAGUGUAGUAUAUUAGUACAUCCUUGUAAAAAUGAGGUAACUUCUCCCUAUUGACUCAUGUUAAGGCAUGGUUGUAAAACAAAAUUGAUUCUAUGUUCAAAGCAUUUCGCCAUCAAACAGUCAUCCAUACUACAAAAUAAGAUUUGCAUUCCUGAAUUGAGUCCACCCAAAUUUUUUUCUCUAAAAUUCAUCCUGCACAACUUGUAUUAGAUUAAUAAAAAUAGUCAUCCUGCAUAGCACCCAUCACAAAAAUGAAAUAAUAUUGUGCACAAAAUGAUGGAAUAAAUAUACAUAUGUUUGUCCAAUCUCUGUAAGAUGGAACUUGUUCCAGCAAAAUAUAAAUUAACAUUUGUCAUAAGCUAGGACUGGAGUGUUCAUUCUUAUCCAUUAUUAAUCCACAGUGCAUAGAAUAGCAAUAGCACAAAAUGGAAACACCUGAAAAAUGAGCUUCAUAGAUAGAAGUUUUAUAGCUUACCCUUUCCAAGAUCAUCAGGAUCAAUGUGGACAACAACAACCCUUUCAACAAUGGAGUUUGAUCCAGUGAAAGGAAUCUUUAAGGAAAGAAAAAUUCAAUUUUUAGAUAACAAGAACUAAAUUUCAACCUAGAUGGUCUUCAGGUAUGAGAAAAAGAAUAAAAAGAAAAACAAGAAGUAGAGGUAAAAAUAACCUACCUGCUUGUCAACAAUUUUGAAAUUAAUAGUACCUAAAAAAUGGCAAUGUUAGGGCCAAUAAUAAUGCUUCUAAUGGUAUUCUAUCAAUAGUUAAUUACGACAAAAGUACAUAGUACAUACCAUCCUCACCAACAAUGACAUUUCCUAAAUCACCAACAUGACUAUUCUUGUCUUCAAGAGCACCAUGAUCUUUUCUAGAAGGAUUGAAAUAAGGUCCUAUAAAUAAUAAAUAAAUAAAUGAUCAAAUACUUAAGCUAAAAAGAAUUAUGGAGAAAAUCUAAGAAAGUAAGUCUGACCUAAUGACAAAGGAUGUAAAAAAUGAAGUAACCAAUAAUUAAACAAUACUAGUUGACAUGCAACCAUUUGUCAUGUCCCCAAGGGCAUGCACAUGGAAGCCAUGAAGUCCAAGCUUAAGGCAAGAAAGACUCCCAAUCACUAUAGUUGUCCUAGCUAUAUCACACUAUCAUCCAAAGGUGAAUUUUUUGCUGCAACUUCAUGUGUUUGUCAAGAUAUUUGAUUGAAGAUAAUUCUUAAAGAGCUUUGUUUCAAGCAACCAGAACCCACUCCAAUUUAUUUUGAUAGCAGCUCAACAAUUAAACUCUCCAAGAAUCUUGUUCUACAUUAAAGAAGCAAACACAUAAAUGUGAAGUAUCACUUUUUAUGGGGCCUCACUAAGGAUGGAAUGAUUGAUCUUAUUUACUACAAAAGUGAAGAUCAAGUCGCUGACAUGUGUACCAAGUCCCUCAAAUCGCUCACAUUUCAGAAGUUAAGAAAAUUGCUUGUUGUUUGCACAUUGGAUAAUCGAAUUUAUGUGCGGGUGCUUUGAGGCUUACUCUUAUUAAACUAACUAUUCUGACAAAAAACAUUAGUGUAAGGGAGGGAUUGUUGAAUAAAAAUGCAAAGAGUCAAAGUAAAAUAUGGAGUCCUUAGUGGUAUGUUUCAUUUGCCCUGGCCUCUAAGAAAUGGUUAAUGAGGAGCUAGUCCUUAGUAGCUCCACGUAAGUAGUGGUAGUAGGGUGUUAUUUUCUAAUGUUUAGCAGGUUGUUUCCUUAUUUUUAGCCUAAGAGUCAUUUGUAACUUUGCCUAUAUACUCUUCAUGUGAAUAAAAAGGGCUUCCUACAUUCCACCUUACCAUUUCUAACACUCUAUUGCGAAAUAAUCAAAUAAAUAGGAAAAUGAUAAGUCCAAAUCUGGAUAAUUGAAUACCUAUAAUGAAAUCUAAGCCAUUGAACGAGGGUACAAACAAAUUGGACCAAGGUACAAGGGUAACAUGCCAAAAUGUGGUAUUUUAUCAUUAUUUUGCCUGAUUUAUUGUGGAUAUUUCACUGCCACAUCGGCAUUUAUUUUCUUCAAAAUUUUAAGGCCUUUGGAGUCUAUGCUGUCCAUACUCAACCCAUGGUUUGCUUGUGAUGAUGGCUUGGGGCAUUGUUUAUUGAAUGCACCAUACUUUUUUCUUAAAAUUUUGAUGUGGGAUUGCUCCUUUUAAACCAAUAAAAAAGUUCAUUGAAGCUCACCCACAAGGCUAUAGGUCAUACCUUGGUGCUUAAGCAUGGGAUGAGAUUCCACUAAAAGAAAGGCCUUUUUUUUGUUAGAUCUGCACAUUUAACUAUAUAUGAUAUUAUUAAUUACAAAUAAGUUAAUUUUAAUUUUUUUUAUAUAAUAGUUAGAUAUAUAAUAGAUGUGAAUUUAUAUUAUGGGUGAUAAGGCAUUGCUUCAUGUUGAUAGUGAAUUUGUAACAAUUUAUCAAUUAAUAUGGAGUUAAGUACUCUUUCUAACUGAAUUUUUGGUAUUAGCAUUUACAAAAUAAAUUUCUUCUUCUGAAAUUUUGGUUUUAAUAUUUCUAUUUAAAUCUAUUGGGAAAUUUGUUUUGUAAAUAUUUCUUGAGCAGUCUUGAGUACACUUGGGAGGUUUUCUCACUACAAAAUGUUCGAUAAUUGCAUCAGUCCAGUUGAUAUUUUGUAAGGAAAAUCCAUAAAGUUUCAAAAUAGGGAGAAGUAUAAAAAAAAGUCAAAAAUACCUUUCACAAUGGCUAUUUUUUUUUUUCCUUUUUUCACAAAAUAGACUUUCUUAUAAAAUAGGAAAUGCAAUUACAAUUUUUCCUUUUAUUGUUAAGCCUGUUCAGCCAAUAAUAAACCUGUGACACAGAUUUUCCUAACCGAAGUUUUUAAAAAUUCACUAUAAAGGGGCCUUUUUAUUAGACAUUACCUAUUUGUAUUAGCCCUUAACUGCAUUUGGAAAGGAAAAGGAAUUGUGAAAAUUUGAAUUCUAUUGUUAAUCAGUCCUUGGUCUCCAAUAGUUUAGUUGUUUGUGAUUUUAUUGUCUUCAAGAGACCAGUUGGAGGGGUUCUAGUUUAGUUGUUUGUGAUUUUAUUGUCUUCAAGAGACCAGUUGGAGGGGUUCUUGGAGGGGGUUGAAAUUGAACCACUCUACUUUAGAUGCAAUGUAUAAAGAAGUUUGUAAUUCCUAGUAGAUUUAUAAAUACUUUUUGUUUUGACUUGGAAAUGAGAUAUUCUUUUGUUGGUAGAUUUAUAGAGAGGUUUUGACUCGAGAUUAAUGUAAAUGACAAGAUUUAAUAAUAUAUUAGUUUGAAUUCUCCAGCUUUAAUGGACAUGCCCUAUCAAACUUGAAGCUAUGGUAGAAGCUCUCUUUAGUAUAUACAAGGUAUAUGAAAGUUUACUGGUUUUCUGUGCUAUUCUUGUCUCAGAUUUUUGUUAUAAAUCUUAUUAUUCCUUCAGAACUAUUCUUUAGUUCCAUUAUUUUCAUUAUGCUCAACUAUUUACUUAAGUCAUUGUCAUCUUUUUACACUUGUUUUUCUCACUUAAGUCAUUGUCUUCUCUGUACGCUUGUUUUUAUCACCUCAUUAGUCAUUGUUGUUCCUUUGCUUGAUCCUUCAAUGCGUGCAACAACUUUAGCACCAUCGGACAUAUUAACAUCUUUUGAUCUUUUAUUUUUUAAAUUUAUUUUAUUACUAUAUUUUAUUCUAAUGUUCAAACACCGUCAAACAUGUUCCUUUUCUUGGGCCAAAGUUGCUUCUCUGUAUAUUUUUAUAUAUGGUUAUGCAUCCCAUGUUUUGGGUUGAUUUCUUGGGAGAACCAGGCCAGUUAUUGGAAGAGGAUGCACAAGUAUAGGCUGUAAGCAUUUUCCCUCUCUCUCUCUCUAGUGACUUAUCAUUCUAGAACACACUUCUCUGUCGUCGCAUCAUGGGACAUAUCAAUUUAUUAUGACUUAUGAAUUGGCCUGUCAUGGUGGCAUUACCUUUGUAGCAAACCAAGUGUGCAAUACUUACAUCAUUCUACAAUGAACACCAUCAAAACUCAAGUGAUAUUUAUCACCAUUUGGAGAUGUUAUGCAUUUAGGUGAGAAGUAGGUCUGUGCACAGAAUUUCCUAGGUAUUUUGAUGAUGCUAAGCCUAAAAUAUAUCUUCUUGUUUCUCCUAUUCUUGACUGGACUCAUCAUGAAAACUUGAAACACUAAAAAAUAAACUACAAAAUUCAACAUUUUGCCCAAUGGACAAAGUUAGAUGAUUUAUAAGAGUGAUCGAUCUUCACAUCCUUGAAGGUCAUUUAUAUGUGAUGAUAAAAGAGUAAGAUUAUGAGAGCUGAGAGGUGCAUAGUUUGUCUAUUAGAAGUGGUCAAAUAGAAAGAAGACUUUCACACUAAAUUUGAACAUCUGUGGAAGCUAAGGAAAUUGUUGAUCAUGCCUUCAAAUUCAAUAUAUGGCUCAAACUUUGCUUGUUUGCUUAAUAGGAUAUAUUUUAUGUUAGUGUGGAUUUCAAAAUCCACUGCAUAAGAUUAAAAGAAAAAAAAAUUGAAUGAUUGAAAUCCUUAUCAAUUUUAAAGACACAUAUGGCAUGGCAAGAAAGAAUGUUAAGCAUAACAUAGACAUAUAUAUAAAAUCGAAAAUAAAUUCAAAUACAUGCUCAUAUACAUACAUCAAACAACAAAAAUCAAAUCAAUCCAAAGAACAUAAAAUAUAUACGAAAGAAACAAAGGAUGAAAGUACAUUCCUUAUUAGUAUAUAAGCAAGCACUCCCCCAAAAGAAAUUGUUAGUUUAACAAGGUAAUAAAUCAAGGAGUUACAUAUAUACAAGGCAUCAUGGGGAACAAAGAAUGAAUUAGAAGAAAAGAAACAAAUUCUAAGUGAUGAGGCAUGCAUAAAAGAUUGACUAAAUUAUGAUAUAUAUUCAGCAAAACAAGACAGCAUAUAAGAGUCUUCUAAAUAAAUCUAAAACAAAUACUAAACAUGCUCAUUUCAUCAUGAUAAAAAUUAGGUAUGACCUUUAAUAAGUAUACAUCAAAUUCCAAAAGGCCAAAUCAAUUAUUCCCAAACCAAUUGAUGCCAAAAAAUUACACAAGUUAAUCAAUACACAGUGAGUUUAGCUAAAAUUGAGGAAUAACUGCAAGGAGUCUAGUUUCUAGCCUAAUUGGACAAAUUCACAAAUCAUAUGUCAAAUAAUACCAACAUUCAAAACAAUCAAAUUGGUUCAAAACAGGGUCAGUGCACAGGUCAUGCAAAAAUGAAUUUUUUUAGCCUACUUAGGGUUGCCCAAAAUUCGAGCCAAAAUUCAUACACAAUAUUGAAAAUGUUUAUUUCAAAGGGAAAAUGACACUAAGGCGUGAUCACACAUCUAACAUAUUUAAAAUCAAUUUAGCAUUCAGAAUGUCCAAAAUAGAGCUUGUGUACAAGGUAACUAAAGACAAAAUUAUAUCUUAUGUUAGGAAAAAAUAUAAUCAUGUAUUAAACAAGUCAUCUUCUAAUUUAAAUUCACAGAUCAAUCUCAAGGAUAUAGAAUAAAGCAUUGAAAUAAGCUAUUACUUAAAAAAUAAGAUUUCAAAACUUGAAAAUGAACAUGUUAAGAGUUACCACUUCCCAAUUUUAUUUGAAUGAAAAUUUCCAUGUCCAAAUUUCAUUCCCAUGAAAGGUCACAAAUUCAUUUUGAAAACAAAUUUGAAAUGCAUACCAAUUCAAAAAAAAAAAAAAAAGGUAGCAUUGAUGUUUUUGAAAACUCAUUUUGAACCUAUGGAAGUAAGAGGAUAUUAGAAAUGAGAACGACCAUUUUUGAGAACCUUAAAAUCAUUUUUGAAAGUCUUGAAAACAUAUUUUACAAACACACAACCAAACAAGGGAAUCCAAAUAAAUAAAGAACACCUAUUCAAGCUAAAUAUCUGCAUUUGUGUGUGUGAAAUGUGAAGAUCAACAUGCAGUUGUACCUACCUUUGCUAGUAACCUAAACAUGCAUCAAAGAUCAAUUUAAAGACCCUAAACAUGUUACUAAAUCAUCAAGCAAUCAAUGAUAACAAAAAAUUCACAAUUAAUAUCAAAUUUAUUCACAAGUGGGUUACUUCGCAAGUGAUUAGAACAGAAGACUCUACAAGUCGAAUUUGAAAAAAAUAUCUAGAAGUCAAAUUUUAUCAUGAAAAAUUUCAAAGAAUAUCUCCUAUAUGUCUAAUUUAUCAUCCAAGUGGCCAAACUAAUUAAUUAAAUCUCAUUUAGUACCAGAUUUCACAAGAAGCAUAAUAGGUCUAGAAUAGAGUAAUUUUCCAUAGCAUGUGAGAAUUAAUUUUUUAAUUAACUUAGAAUUGUCCUAAAACCCUAAAAAAAAAUUCAUAAAACUCAUUAAUAUUCUAAUUUAUAUGAAAAAUAAUCACAGGGUAAGAUCACAUGCAUAACAUAUUUAAAAUUAAAUUAACAUCUUGAAGCUCUAGAAGAAGACCUAUGCAGUAGGUGCAAGAAGAAAAAAAUCAUAUCUCUCAUUUUAAUAAUUAUUUAUUAAUAUUUAAUAUGUCAAAAAUUGAAUUAAAGAAGUCUAUAUUAAGUAAAAAAUAUCUAAAUAUUGAUGGUGAGGCCCUGGCUGACCCUUCGAAAAAAAUCCCCUUGAGCUUAUUGAAUGGGCUGAUCUACCCAGAACCACAAAUCCCUAAGAGGGGAUAUGCAACCACUAAGCCUUGAGAGGAGGACGGCCUGAGCAAGCAACCAAUCCUGCAUAAGCUCGGACCAAAAGGUAUUGUCUAGGAGACACCAAUCGGCCAUGGACCAAACGAAUGGAUUCUCGUGCGAGGCCAUCGAGAAAGCACUACUCGAAACCACCACAUGUCUUCUUGAUGACAUGUUGUCAACACCUUUGGCUCCCCAAAUCAUGCAACAAAGGCAUCCCCCAAGAUUCACAGUGCCCAAAUUCACCAUUUAUGAUGGCACCACAGACCUUUUCGACCACCUCAUGCACUAUUGCCAGGUAAUGGCCCUAGACAUAGGAGAUUAUGUGCUUCAAUGCAAAGUAUUCCCGGUGAUUACUACUCAAAGAGUGCUAUUUUAUAGCUUGUAAUUAACUCUUUUAAACACUUUUGAGUAGUAGUUAUUACCUUUUAACUCAAUUAGCAUAUUAAGUACUUUUGCAAUCAUUUCUAAUCAAAUUGUGUUAAGUUUUGGUGUUUUUUAUAGUAUUUUGAUCACCAAAGCAAUCCAAGAUUGAGGAGAGUUCUAUAGAAUCCUUGGCAAAGCAAUUGGAAACUCAUUUACAUGAAGAAUCCAAGCUUUGGAUCUUUAUAAUCCUUUGCCAAAGGCAAAUCAUGAAUGCAAGGAGGGAAAGCAAAGAGAGAAAUCUAACAUGAAGAAUUCAAGAGGAUAGCAACUGUUGGACACAUUUAGAGCACUUCCUAGAGUCCAUUUCAUGCAUACUAUAUGUAUUUUUGAAGCUCGGGAAGUCAAGAAUCCAACGCUUUAAAUAGUGUGUAAAUCGGAGUUGAAAUGAAAAAGUUAUAGCCAUUAGAAGCCAAUCACACCAAGCUAAAGGCCAAUUUCGCAGCUGCGAAAUCACAAGGUGCUUGCUGCGAAAUCAGCCUUUGGCUGCGAAAUGGAGACCUUCAGCUUGCGAAAUUUCUCAGCCCAUCUUGCAUGCCUGCGAAAUCCACCUGAGUGCUUCAAGAUAUUUGCGAUCGAUUCUUUUAGAUUUUUUUCUUCAGAUAUUUGUUGUUUAAAUCCCCAUUUUCUCCUUGUAAUCCACAAAUCAUAGGAUUCCUUAGUUAAUAAGUAAGAACAAAGGGUGAAUAACCUCAUAUAUAUAGUUUGUAAUUUUCUUUACACAGACAUCUCGGGAGCUUGUUCUCAGAGACAACUUUUUGUUUAGUUUUGAAGGAAGUAAUAUACAGAGCUUUGCUUUGCCUUACCUACUCACUUUGAUUGUAUUUUUUUUACUAGCCAAACAAGCUCCGAGGAUGUUUCCUCAGAGAAUGAGUGGCUAGGCUUUUUGUCUCUUGGAGCUAAGGUAGCUAGGUAAGGUGUCGAAUGCAAGAAUUGGAAGUUUUGUUGUUUCAGCCUUUAAUGAAGAGAAAGUGUGACCCGUUAAUGGUUUCUAUGUUUUUAGUUAACUUAAAACGCCUUUAAAUCACCUGGGCCAACACUUGGUAAGGCAAGUGAUCUCCGUCCAUUGAGAUGCACUAGUUUAUCUCUUGCGAGCCUUUGGGAGGUGAUUUGAAGGUAGGAUUUUCUAGAAUAGCCAACACUUAGUAAGAUUUUGGACUCCAAGGAGACAUCCAUUAGUUAUCUCUUGCAAACUUGUGAAUGGAAAUCCAAGGUUAAUGAUCACCUUGAGUGGUAACUGCUAGGUGAGAAGCACGAGCCAUUGCAAAAUGAAUCAGUGAGAGGGAUUUAGUGUUUCAAUCCAUAAAAAGGAAGCAUCUGUACCACACCGGUUAGAGAAAUAACUAUAUGUUAAUUCUCCAAUGUAAGGAAAAAGAUUCAAGUGACCGGAACUCUAUUUUUGUAUUAGGAGUCUGACCUUAGUGAUCCUAAAACUCCAAGAAACACUUUUCUUUAUAAGUAAUUUCCGUUACAUUAUUUUUAGUUAGCUUAAAACCAAUCCUUUUUAAACCAAAGUUUAUGUUUUCUUUUGAAGUUAACCUUGAAACGAAAAAGCAUCAAUUCAACUUUGAAUUAUUAUUAGUUGUAAGUUGAAAACCCUUCCCAGUGAACGAUCUUAGAGCCACUAUGCUAUACUAGCUGAGUCUAUCCUAGCACAUGGUGUAAUAGGUUAUAAAUUUUGUUGAUUACUCCUGUCUGAGGACCAAAAUCAAGGUACACCAGUUGGGCACGGAAUCACCCGGCUAGCCUACACGUGCCAACCCUCACUUAGUUCCAUCGAUUCCUGGCCAAUUCAAUCAAUGACUUCCGAGAGCUGUCAGAGGUGUUCGUGGCACACCAUUUAUGCUCUGCCAGACAGAAGCAUGGCCUCAAUAGCCUGAGCAACUUGAAAAUGAUGGAGUUAGAAUCCCUAUGGGAUCCUAUGUGAAGAUUAGGGCAAGCCUUGAUCCAAAUGGAGCCCUGCAACAUUGAUGCGAUCAUGCAAGCCUUCAAACGGAGUAUCAUCCCGAGGACCCCAUUCUUCGAAUCUAUAUCAAAGAAGCCACCAAAGACAAUUGACAACUUUUUCUAGAGAGCCAACAAGUACACCAUGUUAGAGGACAAUCUUAGAGCGGCAUCCCAACAGAUAGUUGGGACUUCUUAGACGAUUGUUCCCCAACCAAGCGAUCAUACUCGACCCACCGAAGGACUUUAUUAGUAAGGGGGCAGAAGAAAGCAAUUGCAAGAGACACUUAAAGCCCAACAUAGGGAAAACAGGUCUCACUCCAAUUCAUGAAGCUCACUCUCAGUUAUGACCAACCAUUGCCGAUAAUUCAGAAUCUAGAUGGCUUCUGCUAGUUGAACCCUAUGUGAGGGGAUGCAAGUCAAAGGAAUCCAAAUUGUUUUUACAAACACCAUAAGGACAAGGGCCAUGCUACCAAGGAGUGUCGCCACCUCCAUUACUUACUCGAACGGAUGGUGCGAGCUAGACAACUUAGCCAAUAUCUCUACAACCGAACAUAACCUUCCCCAACUCGCCAAGUUGCUCUAUCUUUGGAACCGACACCAAAGUUGGACAAGUAAUCCAUGUCAUACACGGGAGAUCGAUCGAUAGAUAAUGAAAAAGCAAACAACAUGCCAAGAUGUUGAUAAAAGAUGUAGAACGAGUAGCCCAAGUUUGCAAUGUGGGAAGCACAUUUGUUGUCGGAAGCUUGGUCAUGGUGGAUGGAACCAUUGUAUUUUUUGAAGUAGACUUACUUUGAGUCACUUAGCCACAUGAAAAAGCCCUCAUCUUAAUGUUGAAUAUUGAUCGACCAAGGGAGUUUUGUGGACCUCCUACAUAUAUCUACUUACAAACAGAUGAACCUUUCAAUUAAUGUGUUGGAAAGUCCAGGGAGAGUGCUGACAGGUUUUAACGGUUCAACCACAAUUUCCCUCAACAAGAUCGUACUUCCUCUCUCCACAGAACCCAUCAUUGUGAUUGUGAAAUUUUCGGUCGUAGAGGACCCUUCUCCAUACAAUGCAAUCCUCGGUAGAGCCUGGAUCCAGGACAUGAAAGCCAUACCAUCGAUGUACCACUAAAAAGUGAGCUGCCUGAUGGUGCAAGAUCAAAUAAACAUUUACGAAGAUCAGAUGACAUCAUGACGAUGCUAUCAAGUGACAAUGCUAUCAAGUGACAAUGCUUCCAGCUCCCGUUAUAGGUGAGAGAAAAGGGGGCUCUGAGGGAAAGAAAUAACAACUAUUAAAGGACUCCCGCCUAGAAUUGGACAAGUGGGAGUUCUCGGCUGCUGAGCCGUUAACGACCAUCAAUCAUUUUGAUGACAACUUCUAUCGAAAAGUGUUUUUGGUGGAGAUGCUGUCGAAAAAGGAAAAGAAAAAGUUCAUUAAGAUACUAAGGCAAAACAUGGAUGUCUUCGUAUGGAAACACUUCGAUGUAAAGGGGAUUCACCCCUCAGUAGCUUGCCACCACUUGAACGUGAAAUAAGAAUGGCACCCGAUUAGACAAAAAUUACGAAAAUUCCAUGAAGAAUGACAUAAGAUCAUCACUGAAGAGGUAGACCAAUUGCUUGAAUCUAGAUUCAUCCAGGAGGUACAGUACCCGGAAUGUUUGGCUAACAUUGUUGUGGUCCUGAAGAAAAGCAGAAAAUGGCAUGUGUGUGUCGACUUCACUGAUCUUAUCGAAGCUUGCCCAAAAGACAGUAUUUCUCUCCCUCGGAUAAACCAAAUAGCUGAUGCCAUGGUAGGCCAUGAGCUUCUCUCCUUUUUGGACGCCUUUUUCGGGUACAAUCAAAUAGCAAUGUACCCGCUAGAUGCGGAGAAGAUGACCUUCAUUCCUAGCUAAGGCCUAUUAUGUUAUGACAUAAUGUCAUUUGGCCUCAAGAAUGCAGGGGCAACUUAUUAGCAAUUGGUGACGGAGACAUUUUGACCCUUUUUGGGAAGAAACAUAGAAGUUUACAUCGAUGACAUGUCGAUCAAGAGUAAGCUGAGGUAGAACAACCUUGAGGACCUUGUAGAAGCUUUCGCCCUACUUCGUAGAUUUGGCAUGAUGCUGAAUCCGGAAAAGUGUGCAUUCAGAGUGCAAAAGGGUAAAUUUCCUAGCUACCUAGUGAUGAAAUGUGAGAUAGAAGCUAGCCUAGAGCAAAUCAAAGCCCUACACGAAAUGGUACUGACCACAACGGUCAAAUAGGUCUAAUGGCUAAUGGGAAAAUUAGCGGCCCUCGGUCAGUUCAUCUCAUGGUCUUCUGACAAGCUGUAACCUUUCUUCGAGGUUCUUAGGAAAAGAAAGAAGUUUGAGUGGGAUGAGCAGGGUGACUGGGUCUUCGCUACUAUCAAAAUCUAUCUAGCUUCCUUUCCUAUCCUCAACCAACCACAUGAAGGUGAAAGAUUGUACAUAUACUUAGCGGCCAUAAGUGUGGCGGUGAGUUAUGCCCUAGUUCAAACUGAUGAACAAGGUGCCCAACAGCCGAUAUACUUCAUAAUCAAAACUCUCCUAGACUCAGAGACCCGAUACUCUAGCUCGAGAAGGUGGCUCUAGUACUACACACUAUGGCUAAGAAGCUCAAGCCAUAUUUCCAAGAGCAUGCCAUCGUCGUCCUUAUGGAAUGGUCUAUGCGUGUUGUCUUACACAAGUCGAAACUCUUCGGUCGGCUGGUCAAGUGGGCCAUCGAGUUAGGCGAGUUCGAGAUUGAGUAUAGGCUGCAAUAAAGCCUCAAAGGCCAAGUAUUAGCAAACUUCAUUAGAAACAACAAGAAUGGUGAGACAUGGAUUAUAUAUGUAGACGAUUCUUAAAAAAAGAAAGAAGUCGAAGUUGGAGUCAUCCUCAUGUCCCCUACUGGAGACGAGCUAGAGUAAUCCAUCAAAUUAGGUUUCCUAACAUUUAACAACGAGGUUGAAUAAGAAGCAAUGCUCAUAGGCCUAAGAAUGGUCCACCAACUACAGGUAAGGAACGUCGAUGUUCAUAGUGACUUCUAGCUCGUCAUCAACCAAGUAGAAGGACACUACGAAGCACGCGAUGAAAAAUGGCCAGAUACCUAAAUGCCGUAAAGAGGAAGGCUUACUGGUUUGAUUUUGUAAGCUUCACAUUGGUUCCCAAAGAUAAAAAUGAUCAAGUUGAUGCCCUCACUAACCUAGGUUCCUCUUCCCUAAGUAAGCAGAGUUGGGUGCUUCCGAUCGAAUUUUUAGAAAAAUCCUCUUUUAUAGAGACGAAGAAACUGAUGAAUAGACUCGACACCCCUACUAGUUCCUAGAUGAACCUGUAUGUCAAAUACCUAAAAGAUGGUGCGCUCUCAAAAGAUGAAAAAGAAGCCUAUAGGCUCCGAGUAAAGGCCACACACUUAUGCCUAAUCAAUGAUCACUUAUAUAGGUGCUCUUACGGGGACCCAUAUCUUAAGUGUGUACAAAAUGAUAAAGUUGAAUACUUGCUUGCCGAAGUCCAUGAAGGACAGUGCAGUAACCAUAGCGGGAGACGAUCCUUAGCUCAUAAGAUACUGUCCUAAGGAUACUAUUGGCCAACAAUCCACAAAGAUGCUACCACGCAUGUUCAAAAAUGCAACAAGUGUCAACACUACGCACCCAAAUGUGACCUCCUAGCCGAACAACUUACACCCAUUAUAAGCCCCUGGCUAUUCGUGCAAUGAGGACUUGACAUUGUUGAACUGCUAUCUAUGGCACCCGCUCUGAAACGUUUCCUCUUGGCAACUGAUUACUACUCAAAAAGUGUUAUUUCAUAGCUUGUAAUUAACUCUUUUAAAAAAUUUUGAGUAGUAGCUAUUACCUUUUAACUCAAUUGGCAUGUUAAGGACCCUUGCAAUCGUUUCUAAUCAAAUUGUGUUAAGUUUUGGUGUUUUUGAUAGCUUUUUUAUCACCAAAGCAAUCUAAGAUGAGGGAGAGCUUUAUAUAAUCCAUGGCAAAGAAAAUGGAAGCUAAUUUACAAGAAGAAUCCAAGAUUUGCAGCUUUGUAAUCCUUUUCCAAAAGCAAAUCAUGAAUGCAAGGAGGGAAAGCAAAGAGAGAAAUCUAACAUGAAGAAUUCAAGAGGACAGCAACUGUUGGACACAUUUCGAGUACUUCCUGGAUUCCAUUUCAUGCAUACUAUAUGUCGUUUUGAAUCUUGGGAAGUCAGGAGUCCAACGCUUUAAACGGUGCAUGAAUUGGAGUUGAAAUGAAGAAGUUAUGGUCGUUUGAAGACAACUGCACAAAGCUGAGCGGAAAUUUCGCAAUUGAGCCCCUAUUUCGCAGGUGGUUUCGCAGCUGCGAAACCACCCCUUGGCACACAAGUGCCAUUUCGCAGCCCUCCACCCUCAUUUCGCAGCUGUGAAAUGGGUUACAAAAACGCUUCUCCUCUGCGAAAUCGACCCCUAGCUACGAAUCACGUUGCGAAAUCACCUCCAAGCUAUGAAUCAAGUUGCAAAUCAUCUUCAAGUUGCGGAAUCACCUCCAAGUUGUGAAAUCAUAAAUUCAACUUGAAAAAUCAAAGUUCAAACUUGGAAAAUGGACAAUUCAACGUGCGAAAUCCACCUGUGCAAUCUCAAAUAUUUGCUACCGACUAAGUUAGAUUUUUUCUCAAGAUAUUUUGUGUAAAUUUCUAUUUUCUCCUUGUAAUCAGUCAAAGAUAUUAUUGGGAUAUUUCUUAGAAAAUAUCUUCUCUAUAUAUAUCUUUGAACCAAUGUAAUGGAAAAAAUCUUGUAAUAUAUGUAAUCCGAUGAGAGGAAGAAAUAUAUUUUACAGAGCACUUGCUCUGUUUUUCCUUCAUAUUUUUUUCUCUCGUUAUUUUUAUUUCUAGCCAAACAAACUCUGAGGAUGUUUCCUCAGAGGAUGAGUGGCUAGGCUCUUUGUCUCUUGGAGUGAAGAAAGCCGGGUAAGUUUCCACAUGCAUAAAUUGGAAGUUUUGUUGUUUCAGUUUUUAAUGAAAAGAAAGUGUGACUCGUUAAUGGUUUUUAUCUUUUUAGUUAACUUAAAACGCCUUGAAAUCACCUGGGCCAACACUUGGUAAGGCAAGUGGUCUCCAUCCAUUGAGAUACACUAGUUUAUCUUUUGCGAGCCUUUGGGAGGUGGUUUAAAGGUAGGAUUUUCAAGAAUAGCCAACACUUGGUAAGCUUUUGGACUCCAAGGAGACAUCCAUUAGUUAUCUCUUGCGAGCUUUUGAUGGGUAAUCCAAGGUUAAAGAUCACCUUGAAUGGCAAAUGCUGGGUGAGAGGUAUGAGCCAUUGCAAGAUGCAUCAGUGAGAGGGAUUUAGCGUUUGAACCCAUUAAGGGGAAGUAUCUGUACCACACCGGUUCGGGAAAUAACUAUAUGUUAAAUCCCUAAUGCGAGGAAAAGAAACAAGUGACCAGAACUCUCUUUUUGUAUUAGGAACCUGAGUCUAGUGAUAUGAAACUCUAAGAAACACUUUUCUUUGUAAUUAAAAUUAUUUACUAUUUUUGUUAGCUUAAAACCAACCUUUUCAAACAUCUUUAUGUUUUCUUUUAAAGCUAACCUUAAAAUGAAAAAGCACCAAUUCAUCUUUAAAUUGAUAUCAAUUGUGAAGUGAAAAACCCAUCCCAGUGAAUGAUCUUAGAGCCACUAUGCCAUGCUAGCUGAGGUUAUCCUAGUACAUGGUGUAAUAGGUUAUAAAUUUUGUUGAUUACUCCCUUCUAAGGACCAAAAUCAAGGGAUACCAGCUGGACACAAAUCAAAUGGCACCGUUGUUGGGGACCAUUGAGAGAACAUGAAUCAGCUGAUACACCAAUUGGGAACGAAUCAGUAGCCAUAGACUAUUUCUCAAAAUGGGUUGAUGUUGAGGCUUAUGACACCAUCAAAGACAUUAACGUACGAAACUUCGUGUGGCAAACAAUUGUUUGCCGAUUCAGCAUCCUUAGAGCACUAGUAUUUGAAACUGGCAUCCAGUUUAACAAUCACAUUUUUCUCUAGUUUUGCAUCAACCUCAAUAUUAGGAAAUUCUACUCUACACCAUGCUUUCUACAAAGAAACCACCAAGUUGAAGCUAUUAACAAAACCAUACUAGACUGUCUAAAAAAACGGUUGAAGAAAGUCGAAAGAAAGUGGGUUGAGGAGCUCCCGGGUGUCUUAUAGGCUUACUAGUCAACUCAAAGGAGGCCAAUUGAAGAAUCUUCAUUUUCUCUUGCCUUUAGAAUGGAGGUCAUCAUACCAACUGAAAUUGGUCUACCCAUAGAAUGUAUAAUUUUAGUAAACGUAAAUGCCCAUUUAGCUUUAAUCAAGCUUUCUUUGGACUUAGUUGACAAAAGAUGGGAUGGGACGGCCAUACGGAUGGUUGCUUACCACCAAUGGGUCAUGACAUAAUACAACAAAAGGGUUCGGUGUUGAAGAUUUCAUAUUGGGAAUCUCAUCUUUCGACGUGUUUUUGAAAAUAUGAAAGAGCUAGGAUAUGGCAAACUUGACUCUAACUGGAAAGGCCCCUAUUGGGUAACACGCGUUGGGUCGAGGUUGAGGCUUAUGACACCAUCAAGGACAUUGACGUACGAAACUUCGUGUGGCAAACAAUUGUUUGCCGAUUUAGCAUCCCUAGAGCACUUGUAUCUGAAACUGGCGUCCAGUUUGACAAUCGUAUUUUUCUCUAGUUUUGCAUCGACCUCAAUAUCAAGAACUUCUACUCUACACCAUGCUUUCCACAAAGAAACCACUAAGUUGAAGCUAUUAACAAAACCAUACUAGACUGUCUGAAAAAAACGGUUGGAGAAAGUCGAAGGAAAGUGGGUCGAGGAGCUCCCGGGUGUCUUAUAGGUCUACUAGACAACUCAAAGGAAGCCAAAUAAAGAAUCUCCAUUUUCUCUUGCCUUUAGAAUGGGGGUCAUCAUACCAAUCGAACUUGGUCUACCCACAGAACGUACAAUUUUAGCAGACACAAAUGCCCAUUUAGCCUUAAUCGAGUUUUCUUUGGACUUAGCUAACAAGACAUGAGACGGGGCAGCCAUAUGGAUGGUUGCUUACCACCAAUGGGUCAUGGCACAAUACAACAAAAGGGUUCAAAGUCAGAGAUUUCAUAUUAGGAAUCUCAUCUUCCGACGUGUUUUUGAAAAUAUGAAAGAGCCAGGAUAUGGCAAACUUUACCCUAACUGGGAAGGCCCCUAUCGGGUAACACACGUUGGGCCUAAUGACACUUACCAUUUGGAAGCAUUGGAUGGCAAGGCCCUUCCAAGGCCUUGGAAUGUACUUCACUUAAAGAAAUUUUAUCCAUGAAGGCAACUUUUUGAACAUAAAAUGAACUUUAGCUUUUAUUCAUGAAGGCAUGUUAAAAAAAAAAAAAAUCUGGCCAAACCAAAGUGCCUAAGAAGCCUAAGGUGCGCAAAGAGUAUUUGGGCAAGCCAAAGUGCCUAAGAAGCCUAAGGUACGCAAAAAGUAUUCAGGCAAGCCAAAGAGCCUAAAAAGCUAAGGUGCAUAAAAAGCAUUCGGGCAAGCCAGAGUGCCUAAAAAGCCCUUAAUGAAUGAAAACAUUCACCUAAAAGCAUCCGAACAAAAGCAUCCGACCUCACCAUUUAAUACCUAUAAAUAUCACCUAGGCUUGAGACCUCAAAAAAUUCAUAAAAUCUCAUGUACAAAAAUUAACGAAAAACAAAGCUUAAAUUUCAAUGUGAAUCAUAUGGUAGUAACAGUAUCUAAAACAAAAACCAAAAAAUAAUCCACCAAAACAUGUCAAAAAAAAUAAAAAAAUACCACUACAAAGUCACACAUCCCCAGGGGACCCAAAAGCCCCAACUUCGGUAGUCCUAACCGAAACCUCCUUAAUGACACCGUCAUCCCCGACAUCACCCUCGUUGUCAAUAUCCUAAUUGUUUUGAAUGUUGUGCUUCUUCAUGCAGCGUUCGUAGCCCAACUCGUAAGCACGAUCUACCUCAUCAAUAUAUCGAGGGACAAGUUCUUUCAAUUAUGUGGAAGCCUUCUCCAAAUCCUCACGAAGUGCCUCCACUUCCUUCUCUAGUCGAGAGCGCUCUUCAUUUGACAUAUCCAGUUUAGACUGAAGCUUCUAACUAUGCUCCUCAUCCGUCAAUUUCAACUUUAGUUCUUAGUCUCCCUGUUUGUAGCUUUUCGGUGAGGUCUCGGGCAUGACUUUCUAGUUUUGCAAUGGCAUAGUUCAGUUGAUCUAUGUUAGAAAUGCAGCCAUGAAGCUCAUUCUCACACCUCCUGAAAUCCCUGAUACCACGUUUCAUUUGUAAGAGAAAAGAGGGGAAAUGAGGGACACAACAAAUCAAAAUGGUGAUAGGAAUUAGUGGGUGCCAAAUAAAAGCAAAAGAAAACCUUACCAAUACACCCAAAUCCUAACUGGAAAACUAGGGUAUAACUAUAAGCACAUCCUGAAGAGAAAUAGCUCUUGACAUUAGAGUCGCCAUAAAUAGGCCUAAGAAAGAAUUCAGUUGAACCUGAGCAAUAGGGUCCCUAGCCACCAAGUUCAUAGUCGCCAAGUCAGUUUUCUAAACCUCUUCAAACCAAAGAAGUGAGUCUAAUAUCUCAAUUUCCGAGUGGGGCACAGAAGUGUCCCUAGGAGUAUCACUUUGGAAAACUACCAAACCUUUAUGAUGAGUGACCGUACUUCUCUUUCGAUGUUCGUCACCCCCGACAAGAAUAGAUUCCAGUCUCAUUCAUUGUUCAGGUGCGGGAUUAACCAGUUAAGAAGUCGUCGGUUUGCUUGAUGAUUGUGUCACUUGGAGGGAUCCAGAGGCCCGCUGAAACAACUCUUUAUAAGCAGCCUGCUGAGCCUGCAUUUGUCGAAGAGUACCAUCCUACCUUUUUUAAUAUCUCUUAGCUAGAAGCUUCUGCUUCUGACGCGCCUCCAACUCCUACAUGCGAGCUUCAUUAUAAUUCUCUAUGUUUGUGAUUACAAAGUGCUUGCCUUGCACUGGUGGACGAGGCACCAUUUUGGGUAGAAAAACCUAAACGAAUCGGUUCGGAUGCCUUUAGAUGUUAAGCCAGUUCAAAGUAGUUAGCAACACUUGAGAAUUCCUUUGAGUCAACUUAAUGUUUAGCAGCUAAUAGAUACAGUCAAAAGACACAUUUUCCACCCACUCGGCUAGGCGUCCUCGCUUUUCCUCCUCUACAAUAACCCGCCAUUAGAGAAGCCAAAGAAAAAAAAAAAAAAAACAUGAAGACAUGGUAGCAAUACUUGGGUAGAUAAUUGACCAAUUAAUCCGAAACUCCCUAUCCGGAUCACCAGGGGGCAUUUCCUAAGCCCCGAAAACAAGCACGUUCCCCUUCAACCAUCAUUUCCUAGAAUUUGGUAACUCUAUCACAAAUUGGAAAACGCGACAUUGCAUCGAUAAGGUGAAUAGGUCGGCAACACCUAAUUGGGUUGUAUACAUGAAUCACACUUUAAGCACUGAAAGCUCUAGGACGUAUAAUAUAUUCAACAUCGCGCAACCCAUAAGUACAUGCAUAUUGUUCGAGUACAUGUGUGCAGGGUGCAUCCCAGUAUGGUAUAGAAAUUGCCUCACUAGGGAGGGCAGUGACCGUUAAAGCCCCACCUAGAAUUGUUCCUAGGUAAAGAAGAUUUUACUAUAAGACAAGUUCAUGUUAGAUCUCAAGUUAUCAGGAUUUUCCGAGAAAACAACCCGCACAUCAUCUGGAAUAUCGUACUGAGCACAGAACUCUUCUAUCGAAGAGACCAUCUAGGAACGCAAUGACAUGACAACCUUACUCGCUUUGGUAUGCUUGCGGGCAACCGAGCCCAACAAGAUCGCUUGAAGCCGGUGAUUAACAAGGGGCUGCUUCUCACUCUCCUCACUCUCGAACUUUGAUGACAUCCCCGAAAGCUCUAGGACUACCUAGAAACACACACCACACUGUAAGACCAUCAUUGUGGAACACUAACCAAGGGGCAAGGCAACACCGACCCACUCCUGCGCACAUCCACCUCGACAAGAGAGCAAGUGCUCUACACGAACACAAAAAACCCCACUACCCAUGGAGCCCUGACCAACGCCUCCUCAAGAGCCACACACAAGAGAAGGAAAAAAUGCAACACACAAAAACCAACAAAAAAAAAGUGCAAGAAAAAGUGUUGGAACUUACUUGCAACGCAAUCACCGGUAGUAGUAGACCCUCCAUUUUGUCAUCUUAGCAGAUGUAACACUAGGUGCCUUCCUAUACUUCUUGAUUCAUGGUCAUCCCUUGGCCUUUCGAGCUAAGAUUAGGUCUCAUUUGGAUCUUUUUGAAGAUAGGUCCCACUUGAAUGUUUCUAUAGGCCUAAUUCACUUAAGUUAGUUUUUUAGUUUGAUUUCUGGGUUUUGAGUAUAAGUGAGCUUUGGCUUGAUUUUGGAUCUUCAACCAUAGGAAAUGAUUUUUUGAUAUUUGGAUAUACAAGAUGAAUUUUCAAUCUUCUGGUUCUCUCCCAUUUGGUUGAAAAUAUUUGUACUUGUUUUAUUUACUUUCUUUUUAUCUCAUUAUUAUUAUUAUUAUUAUUUUGGCAUGAGAUUUGUACUUUGAUUUCUUUUGCAUGUGCAUGAUUAAUGAUCGAUUUUAAACAUACAUGUGAUUGAUAUACUUUUUUUUUAUCGUAUAAUUUUGAUGUUUAGUGUUUUUUAGUUUGCCUUAUUCUUACUUUCAUCCUUAUUUUAUUUUUCAUGGGAUUUGACUAGUAUAUAUUAGAGAUUGAGGACUGGCAUUUUCUAGAAAACAUCCUUGGCAAGCACGUGGUCAUUCUUAGAAGGUUUUGUCAAAACAUGCAAGAAGUACAAUGCAAAUAAAAGUUUAGAAGAAGCGACAACUUUAACAAGUGAAGAUGUUGCUAUAAUUUGAUCCUCAACUGCCCAUGCAUUAGUAUCUAACCACACUAAGUGCAAUAAAGGUUUAAGUGUUUAAUCACGUAACAACCAUGCAACUCCCAUUAGUGUUGGGAUAUUGUCAUAUGAAUUUAAGACAGUCAAAGUGCAGCUUGGAUUCACUAUUUGAACUGCACCUCAACUAGGCCUUACCAAUAGUCUAAGUUUCUCAGGGUCCCACCUUUGAAUGCCAUGCAUGGCCAUUUGGGUGCAUGUAAUCCUCUCUAUGUGCAUGCAGUCAACAAGGCAUAACUGACGUUUUAUUGGUAAUUAGGAUACAAGUGAAGACCAUGUUAUGGACACCCAUGCAACAAGUAAGAGGAAUGGGCUAGGGCACGUGGGCAUCAAGAGGAGUGAUCUGCCAGAAUUUGAAAGAGUUGAGGUGGGAGUUUCGAAGGGUUUUUGCAUGGGAAAAGAGGGGGGUUUUGGAAAAACCAUAUGAGAGGCUAUUUUUUAGGAGAAAAUAUUCUAAUAUAAGGGGGAUUGAAAAAGAAAAAAUGAAAGGGAGGCGAUCUUGGGGAAUUUUUCAGAAAGGUUGAGAGGUUCUAAUUUUUGGAGAAAAAGAGAGAAAAAAAAAAAGGAAGGUGGAGAAAUCCUGAUAGAAAAUGUUAAAAAGAGAAAAAGAAACAGAGUGGGAGAAAAGCAGAGACAGAGAGAGAGAGAGAGAGCACAGGAAGGAAAAAAGGACUGGCAUGGGGAUGAGAUUUUCUGAUUUUCUGGGUAGAAAAAGAGGUUUCGGUAAAAUGGGUUUUGAGAAGUAAAACAAAGAAGGAGUAGAAUCAGAGGAGGAGUAGAAUCAGAGGAACACCUUGAGGUAUGACUAUUACAGAUUUCUUAUUUAUUUUUGUUAUUACCCUAUUCCUCAUUCAUUACAUGCUGUUCUUGGAUGUUUAUUUUUUCAAUUUGAGGUAUGAGUAGGAGAUGGUCAUAUGUUGUUUAUUAAUGUUUGAGACAUUUGCAAGUUGGUUGCCAUUUUUUCCAACUACCGUUUCUUUGUUUAUACUGGAUAAAUAAUACAGAUUUGGUCUAAUUUUGUUGUGUGAUGCUUAAAGAUCAUCUUUUUAUUAUUAUCAUUUUUUUUCUUAGAAUUUAUGGUCUCUCUCACCUGGCCUGUAAGCUCAUUGAUAUUCCAUGAGAUGAAUCUUCAUUUAAUGACUUAAUGAUUUGUGUUUAUAAUCUGUUUCUUUUGUUGCUAUAUUAGUGUUGUUUUCCUUUAGUUUUGGUGUCCAUCCCGUAGUGUGCAUCAGGUGGUUUACCACCAUGCAUUUCUUCUGGGUAGAAUGCCUUGGUUAUGAGUGUGUUCGGGUGAUUUUGGUGGAGAUACUUUCUGUUAAUGAAGAAAUGAAUUUUUGGAGAGUUGCAACCGUGUGUUCUCAUGGUUGAAUUGGACAGGGAAAUUAGAUGAUUCAACCGGGAUUUACUAGAGAUCAUGCGUGUAGUUUAUUUUAUUUUUUAUUUUUUAUGGCUGAAAAUGAUGGCACAUUGAGUAAAUAUUUAAUGGAAGAUGCAAUUGUUUUCAUGUGGAGAUCUAAUGGAGAAUACAACCACUUUCAUGUGAAGCCACUUGUUGUGUUAAUGGAGAAAAGAAAUACAAGUGAAAUUGGUCGUUAUGUGGUUGAAAUUCAUGUCGCUUUGGUGUUUGAGUGGAUAUCAUGCUAGUGGCUUCUAUGUUUAUUGAUUCUUUAAAAUAAAUAAAAAAUAAAAAAAUGAAAGUGUGAAUGUUGUGUGGAAGAAUAUGUAGAGAAUUUAAUGAAGAUUCAUAAGACAAUGACAUGGUGGAUGGAAUUAAAAAUAAAAUGAAUGGUGGAAUUUAUAUGCAGCAGCCAUGGAGAUCAUGCUAGUGGCUUUGAUGUUUAAUGCAUUUUAAAAAUGAAACAAUGGGGAUGUUGUGGCCGUGUAUGGAGUGCUCCUCUCAUGACUGAUUUAUAGAACAUUGUGGCUAUUAGUUUUGUGGCCAUGAAUGGAGUAUUUUUAUGAGAAUCCAUAAAAAAAUCAUGAAUGUGUAGUGGCUUUGGUUAUUAAUUUUUUUAUUGGUGAAUUCAUGAAGGAUUGAUGGAUGCGUAGUGACUUUGUAUGUUAAAUCUCCAUGGCUGAAUUUUUGUGGAGAAUCAUACAUAUAAUGGUCAUGUGUUAGUGCAUAAAUUCUGUGGAGAAACAAGUUGCAGACGUGCUGCACCAUUUUGCCACAUUGAUGUUGUGUUGAUGCUUGAUUUUUGGAGGAAUUUCAGCCACUUUAGUGCAUGUUUUUAUGACUGUGAGGAGAAAAGCAACAAGCACAUGAUCACACCAUCAGAUUUUAAGACCACCAAGCUGCCACUAUGAACACACACACAUCAGCCACACUCCCACUCUCAUCACACACAACUCAGCAUGCUUCACUCACAUUCGGUACACACUACUUUGUUUCCUUAGGAAUUUUUUCUUCUUCUUUUGGUUGUGUGAUUUUAUGUGAUUAUUUGUGUUUGUUAGUGAUUUCAAAAUGCCUAUCAAUCUACCUUUCUAAAAAUUAAUUCUCAAAAUUUCAAAUUCAGCUUGGACAUUGUUAUGUUAUGAAAAUUCAAUUUUCUAAAAAUUCAUGCAAAUAAUUUUAUUCGGUAUGCAUGUUUAAAAAAAGAAGUUUUAAAAUGAAUUUUGGUUUUGAAUAUACAUGAAUUAAAUUUCAUAACUCCAAUCAAUGGUGUCUUUAUGGAUAAAUUCAUGAAAAUUAAAAUGGGAUUUAAUAGAUCCCUACAUACAAAGUUUUUCUAAAGCAAUGUUUUUCAUUGAAAUUGUGGAUAGUUCACUGUACUUCUGUAUUUUUAAAUUGGAAUCUGAUAACUAAAAUGCCUUUUAAAAUUUUUCUAACUAUCCCAUGACAUUCUAGACUCUUGAACUUGAUUUUAGAAUCUUUCUUGGGUCAAAUAUGUUUCUUCAAUUAAGAGAUAUAAAUCAAUCUUUCAGAAGGUUCAGUUUUCACUCUAUUUUUGACACUCAAUUUUGUUUUUCAAAAUUAAAUUAAUAAGUGAACUAUUUAAUUUUUUUGGAAAUUUUUAUAUUAAUCUAUACUUCUUAAAGUUAGUUUUUGAUACAUAAAAAAUUAAUAAAUAAUUUUUUAAAUAAGAGAUAUAAUUUUUCUUCUUGUACCCACUGCACGAGUGCUUUUCUAGAGCUAAGAUAUUUUUAUUUAUUUUUAAAUAUGUUAUGAAUGUACUAUUGCCCUGUGAUAAUUUUUAAUAUAAAAUAGACACAUUUAGAUAUAUGUAUGAAUUUUUGUAUGAUUUUAGGACAUCUAUAAGUCAAUUGUAAAAAUAAAUUGUUUAAUUCCUUAAAAAGAUGCCUUAUUCUAGACCUAUUAUCAUCAUUAUGAAAUCUGGUACUAAAUGAAGGAUGGUUAAUUAAUUUGGUCACUUAGAUGAUAAAUUAGACAUACAGGAUAUGUUCUCUAAAAAUUUUCAUGAUAAACUUAACUUUUGGAUAUUUGUUUUAGAUUUAUUUUGUACAGUCUUCUGUUAUGAUCAUUUGCUGACUUUUUUUCCUUUUUUUUUUUUUUUUUUUUGUAGUAUUCCAUUUUUGAAUAAAUUUGUUAUUAAUAGGAAUUACGUAAUUUUUAUUUUGGUGAGAUAACCUUUCUUGAUAUUUAUUUGGAGUUUAUUUUGUGAACCAAUAUUCUACGCUUUUAAUGAUAUUUCAUUGGCUUUUGAUAAUUUAGUCACUUUUGAACAUACUUGUGAAUUUUCCUUGACUUGAGACAUGCUAAGUGUAUAUAUAUAUAUAUAUAUAUAUAUAUAUAUAUAUAUAUAUAUAUACAUAUAUAUACACAUAUAGGUCUAGUUAUUUUUUAUUUAUUAUUCUUUAAUCUUAUUAUUAUUAUUUGUGAAUUAACCUCAUUUUUAUAGAAGCACUGAUGCUUGCUGCACAGGUACACUCUCUAUUUUCCCAUUUCAAAGUUCCAUGAAUAUGUAUGUAAUUAAGAACUAUAUCCUCGUUUGAUAUUGACUUUGGGUGCCUUGAUGUUCAUUUGAUUUCUUUUGAUAAAAUGCAUGUUGAGUAAUAUAAUACCUGAACUAACUUUGGUGUUUUGUGAUAACAUUCAAGUUAUAGAUCUAGGUAUGCAUAUUAUCUUUUAUUUAUGAUAGUGGUUUGAAUCCUUGUUUGGCAUGCUAGAAUUAGUAUUGUAACAACUGGCUCCCAACCGUGUAGAUAUUGUCCAUUUUAGACUCAAAGGGGCCCUCAUGGUUUUAAAACCCGUCUACAGGGUUACGAGGAGUCCAUACUUAUAUGGCACUAGGAACUUUCCCUCUUAUCAGAUGUGGGAUGUCACAAACACCCCCCAUGUAGACACAACGUUCUCAUUGUGUCCCACAGGAUUGUGGGACCAAAUAGACAAACACCCUUAUGGGGCUAAACAAACCCUACACCGAGAUCGGGGAUCGACUCUGAUACCAUUUGUAACGACUCGCUCCUAACCGUGUAAAUAUUGUCCCUUUUGGACCCAAAAGGACCUUGAGUUUUUGAAAUCACCUUAAUCUAUCUAGGUAUUCAUAAUCAAUUGAUUAAUUAUCAUAUUUCCCUUAAUUAGGCUAUAGUAGAGACCUUGUUAGGGCUUAGGGGGGUGCUACUUCUUUAGAGGUACCUUCCUGAUAAGUAACCUGAUCCCCGGACCCAAACUAGGGUUUUUUGCAAGCAACUUUCAAAAAAAAUCAAGGGUCCUUUUGGGGGUUUUAUUCUUACUUGUUUUCCCAUUUAAAAAUAAAUAAAAGUAAUUGGUGACUCAAAAUUUUUAUAAAAAUUGGUUUUUCACUUUAAUCAAAAGCGAGUCUCGCCAAUCGAGUGGGAAUCCAUCAUGAAAAAUGUGAGUCAAUAGCAACAAUACCACAACGCAGCAAAAUCCAAGGCUCUUAGGCCGUGAUUGGCAAGGAUGACUACAAGCACAAAGUGAAAAUGAGCUUGGGUACCCCAAAAGUUUGCUCAUAAAAGAAAGAGGGGAGGCUUUGCCUAAGCAUUUAAUGCAGUGUGCCAAUCAAGUUGGGUGCUUGCCAUCAUGGUGCCACUUCCCAAGUGUUGCAUCCUUUAGGCGACGUAUGUUUGGCCUAUGAACCCCUACUCAUAGUCAGUGAAGAAGUUUUGCACCCAAAAGUCGCCCCGUUAACACAUUUCUGGUUUCCUUGAUCGCGAAAGGGGGACAUUGGAGAUACCGGGCUCAAAUGAGGGUCCGCUCAUUAGAGGAACCUAGCUUAAUUGGUGUCCAACCCAUGGAUUUUCCCACCCGUUUGAGUGGCCGAUACCCUUCCGUAGAACCGAAGCCUUCACCGAAAAGGUAACUAGAAUCACACGAACUGGGUUGGUCUCUUUGGACACGAUGGUUCUCGAAGUAGAAACGGUAAGCCACUAACUAAAGGAGAAUGACACCACCUCACCCGGGUCAAAUCUUCUCAAUAAAAUAGAGCUUACCUUGGAAGAAAGCCAUUAGGGCAGUGUGCUUAAAAAAUCCAAGCAUGGAUCCCCUAGGGGCCUUCCUAGUCGAUCUUGGAGAGUUGAACAAGUCUGGGAGCACAAUACCGACUUACACACUGACUCAUAUGGCAUAGACACCAUAGGUUGAGACAAGAUUAAUACAAGGAACGAGGGGCUAUGACAAGACUGGUGUGAGGACCAAAAGGGCGGUGACAAGACUGGUAUGAGGAACAAGAGGCUGUGACGAGAUUGAUAUGAGAAGCAAGUCCCAAAGCAAAGCUCUAACCGGUCUUAUUACCAACAAGUACCAGAGGGGUUAGCCAAGUGCUACUUGACACGGGUUUCAUCUACCCUGUGAUGUCCCACAUCAAAUAGGAGAGAAUGUUCCUGGCGCUAUAUAUGUAGAGGCUCCUCUUAACCAAGUAGACGUGUUUUAAAGCCGUGAGGGCUUCUUUGGGUCCAAAGCGGACAAUAUUUUCACGGUUGGGAGUGGGUCGUUACAUACCCAACCAUGGAUGCCACACAACCUUUGAUGUCCACCCUCAUGACACACCACUCCCUUAGGAGAAAGUUGACGUACUCAACCAGUCAGGUGAUGGCUUGGAAACCUUAUAAAAGGAAAAGAAGAAGAGAGGAAAAUGAGAGUUUUUUCUUGGUCUAAGACAAAGAAAGACUAAGGGACAUAUAAGAAGAGAAGGUGACACUUGAGGCAAUCUAGGGGCCCGAAUAGUCAUCAAAUCCUUGGAUUCGUAAAGGUUGUGCACCAAGACAAACCACAAACACCCCAUCCCACUAAAAAAUCAAAGAGAGAAAAGAAAAGAACAAAAAGAAAAGAAAAACAUAAAUGUCAACCAAGCAAUGAAUUUUUUUUUUUAGUUUGAUUUUGAAAGCAGAUAAAUGUCAGGUAUCCCAAUGAUGAGCUAUUUUUCUGAACCACUAGCACUAAGUAGGGCAUGUCGAUGAAUAGCCAAUGCAAAAAGUGAGCCCUUGUGAGCAUCUAUUGAGAGCUAGGCACAAUUGUCAUUUCUCACAUCAAGGAACUAAAUGUCACCAACUUGAGAUACACUCACAAUCUGGAGAAAGACAGUUAAACAACCAAGCAAGACAAGGUAAGACUCGUGGGAUUAUCCAAUAACCAUUUGAUUCAAGAUGAAACUAUUUUUCAUAAUCUCACACCCAAAUGUUCGCUAUAAGAAUGAUUUUUCAAGGGAAAUGAAGACUAUCAAAUAACUGCAUUUGAUAGACUGCAAAAAACCCAAAUUUUCACCCAGAAAAAAGGCAUGUAACCAUCAUGGUGCUCCAUUUACAUGAUGAAAUUUUAAACGACAUAGGAUCACAUGUAGACAUUAAAGCAUGCAUUAAAUGACAAUAAAUGAAAUGUUUACCUUUAUUAAUGCCAUGGAAAGCCAUUUUUGUGCUCCACUGGUGUCCAAGAAUAUGCUUAGUCCGUGGUGGUAUGAAAAUUCAGGUUCAAUGAGUUAUUCCCUUUUUACACCCAAGAUUCAGUCCGUGAGUGCUCUCAAGACGAAUGUGCAGUGCAUGCCCUUUUUUCAUCCCAAGAAGAAGAAGCCUUACUUUGUACUUAUAUAUACUCAUAUACAUCACACAUUACACACAUUAUUUGGACCACUUGACUUAAUGGGCCAGUAAAGUGAAUUAGGGUGAGCCCAUAAAAAAUCAAGCAACAAUAUGUGUCCAACCCCAUUAUAGACCAGAAUGCAAAAAUAAAAUAACAUUGAUUUAUGACGCUAUCACAUUGAUUAUGUAAGUCCACACAUAAAAAAUUCCAAAAAUUCUCCUACUUGGACUACAUAAUCAAACAUCACAAUAUAUACAUAAUCAUAAAUCAAUGUCCCAUAGAAUCUCAUCAAAACAAAUAAUCAAAAGCAAUCAUACAUGCUUCAUUGCUUGAUUCACAGGGAAAUAUACAAUAAUAGCAAUCCUUCCAACAAUAACAUAAUAUUAAAAUACCAAAAAUGGCUUCUACUAACUUAAUAUAACCUAGGCUCCCAACAACCCCAUUUGAGAUACAUGUUCAUGAAACACAACUAUGGGUAAGCCUUUUGUUAGUGGAUCAGCCAACAUACCUUUUGUUAACAUAUGUUUAAUAUCAAUAAGAGACUCUGCCACUUUCUCCUUAACAAAAUAGAAUUUUACAUCAAUAUGCUUGGAGCGAGAAGUACUCCUAGUGUUCUUAGAGAAAGCAACAACUGCGGAAUUAUAACAAAAUAAUUUCAAUGGUCUAGAAAUGGAGUCAACAACUCCCAAAGCUAAAAUAAAAUUCUGCAUCCAUAUAGCAUGACAAAAAGCCUCAUAACAUGUCACAUACUAUGCCUCCAUAGUUGAGGAUGUUGUAAGUGUUUGCUUGACACUUUUCCAAGAUACAACUCCUCCUGCCAUCACAAAAAUAUAGCUUGUAGUGGAUUUCUUAUCAUCUAUGCAACCAGUAAAAUCAACAUCACAAAACCCAACUACAUUAAGUAUGUUGGUGUGCUGAUAUGUCAAUAUUAAGUCCUUAGUUCCUUGCAAAUACCUAAGGACCUUCUUAGCAGCUUUCCAAUGUUGAUUUCCAAGAUUGCUCAAGUACCUUCCCAACAUGAAAACAACAAAAGCAAUAUUAGGGUGUGUACAUACUUGAGCAUACAUAAGGUUGCCAACCAAAGAUGAAUAAAGACUGGUUUUCAUUUCCUCUCUCUCAUCAUUGAUUCGUUCCCACUUAGUGUCUCAGCUGAUUCAUGUCCUCUCAAUGAUCCCUGACAGUGGUGCCAUUUGAUUCGUGUCCAGUUGGUGUCCCUUAAUUUUGGUCCUCAGGGAGUAAUCAACAAAAUUUAUAACCUAUUACACCAUGAACUAGGGUAGCAAAGACAAAGCUACUAUAGCAUAGUGGUUCUAGGAUCGUUCACUGGGAUGGGUUUUCACUUCACAAUUGAUAUUAAUUCAAAGCUGAAUUGGUGCCUUUUCAUUUCAAGUUUAGCUUUAAAAGAAAACAUAAAGAUGUUUGAAUGAAAAAUGUUUGGUUUUAAACUAACCAAAAAUAGUAACUGAUUUUACUUACAAAGAAAAGUGUUUCUUGGAGUUUAGAUCACUAGGCUUGGGUUCCUUGUACAAAAAGGGAGUUCCGGUCACUUGUUUCUUUUCCUCGCAUUAGAGAAUUAACAUAUAGUUAAUUCUCUAACCGGUGUGGUACAAAUGCUUCCCAUUAAUGGGUUCAAACACUAAAUCCCUCUCACUAAUGCAUCUUGCAAUGGCUCAUACCUCUCACCUAGCAUUUGCCAUUCAAGGUGAUCCUUAACCUUGGAUUACCCGUCAAAAGUUCGCAAGAGAUAACUAAUGGAUGUCUCCAUGGAGUCCAAAAGCUUACCAAGUGUUGGCUAUUCUAGAAAAUCCUACCUUCAAACCACCUCCCAAAGGCUCGCAAGAGAUAAACUAGUGCAUCUCAAUGGAUGGAGAUCACUUGCCUUACCAAGUGUUGGCCCAGGUGAUUUAAAGACGUUUUAAGUUGACUAAAAAGAUAAAAACCAUUAACGGGUCACACUUUCUCUUCAUUAAAAACUAAAACAACAAAACUUCCAAUUUAUGCAUGAGGAAACUUACCCGACUUUCUUCACUCCAAGAGACGAAGAGCCUAGCCUCUCAUCCUCUGAGGAAAAAUCCUCAGAGUUUGAUUGGCUAGAAAGAAAACUAACGAGAAAAAAAAAUAUAUAGGAAAAACAGAGCAAGUGCUCUGUAUUUUACUUCUUUGCAAAACUGUACAAAGGAUUGAUAUAUUGUGUAAAGGAAAUUACAAACUAUAUGUAAGGGGUUAUUCACCCUUUGUUCUUACUUAAAGACUAAGGAAUCCUAUGAUAGGUGGGUUACAAGGAGACUUUGGGGAUUUAGACAUUAAAUAUCUAAAGAAAAAUAUCUCAAAAUGUCGGUCGCACAUAUCGGGAAGCUUCAGGAGAACACCGCAGCACUAUGCAAAAUGGUUGCGAAACUCUCCGGGUAGGCGCUAUCAGAGGAUCCGGAUAUGUCUGACUAGGGAAGUUGAAACGCCCUCCUCUCCCAUCUGGGGUCAGGCACCGGAUGUGAAAUAUUCGGAGAAGGUGCCAGAUGUGAAAUAUCCGGAGAAGGUGGAACGUCAUCCGGACAGAAUUUCGGAUGUGAGAUACCCAGAGAAAGUGGAACGUCGCAAGGGGGACCGUCUGCGUGUGCAAGGUGUAGGGACCCCUCCGCCUGACGACACGGAGCGCGCAUCGCUAUCCGGAGCAACUCCAUCCGGAUUCCCCAAGAGGACACAUGGCGCGCUCCCCUAUCCGGACUCUCUCAGGGAGAAGCACACUGCACUCGCGAUCAUCACAUCCCGGAUGAUAGCAUAUCCUAUCCGGAUGUUGUCCGGAUCAUUGACUAAAGUGCACAAGCCUUGCUACGUCAUUCUGACAGCCUGCCACAGCCCACGUUCCGCCGCCCUCCGAUGGUGUGUCCGGACGGAAUUCCGGAUGUGCUUAUGGCAAAGGACUUCAAAGCUUUGGUUCUUCAUGUUUCUGAGCUUUCCAUUGCCUUGCCAUGGAUUUUAAAGAACUCUCCUCAAUCUUGGAUUGCUUUGGUGAUCAAAAAGCUAUCAAAACACCAAAACUUAACACAAUUUUAUUAAAAUUGAUUGCAAGGGUCCUUAAUAUGUUAAUUGGGUUAAAAAGUAAUAACUACUACUCAAAAGUGUUUAAAAAAGUUAAUUACAAGCUAUGAAAUAACACUUUUUGAGUAGUAAUCAAUCAUCAUUUUGAGGACAUUGAGCCUUUGAAAAUUUAUCACCCUUCACAAUUGGCGCUCUAGUAAAACUACAGUUGUGCAUAUUGAACUUCUUCAAUAUCUUCUCAAUAUAGGUUCUUUGAGACAAUUUAAGCACCCCGUUAGUCCUAUCACGAAGAAUCUUUAUGCCCAAAACAUAAGAAGCCUCACCAAGAUCCUUCAUGUCAAAAUGGGUUGACAACAUGUGCUUUGUCUCAAUCAACAAGUCAGAAUCAUUUUAUGCGAGUAGUAUAUCAUCAACAUAUAAAACAAGAAAUAUGUAACUACUCCCAAUGACCCUCAAUUAUAUGCAUUUGUCAACUAUAUUAUCUUUAAAACCAUUUUGGGUGAUAAUCCUAUCAAACUUCAGAUACCACUACUGAAGCCUAUUUAAGACCAUAAAUUGACUUAUUGAGCUAGCAAACUAAAUCUUCCUUUCCAACUUCUGCAAAACCAGUAGGUUGCUUCAUAUACACGUCCUCAUCCAGAUCACCAUUCAAGAAAGUUGUCUUGACAUCCAUUUGAUGUAGCUCCAAAUCAAAAUGAGCUACAAUGGCCAUAAUCACUCUAUAAGAGUCUUUGGUCAACACAUGUGAGAAGGUUUCUUUAAAAUCAAUUCCUUCUCUUUGACUAUAACCUUUAACCACAAGUCUAGCUUUAUAUCUCUCUAUUUGCCAACUAGAAUCACGUUUGGUCUUAAAACCCACUUGCAUCCAACUGGUUUACAACCAUGUGGCAAUUCGACCAAAUUCCAAACACCAUUCAUAUGCAUAGAGUUCAUUUAAUCGUCCAUGGUUUCUUUCCAAGAAGUGAAUUGAGGACAAUGAAUUGCUUUUUGAUAAGUGACUGGAUCAGAAACAUCAUAACCAUCAUACUCAUGCUCUUGCAAAUAAAUCAUGUAAUCAUCUGAAAUAAUCGGCCUACGAACCCUCUAUGAUAUUCUCAAAGGAAUCCCAUCAACAACAGUACCAUCAAUAGGAAUGCCAGGUUCCACUUGAUCACCAUGCUCUCCUUGAUUAGUGGCCGAAUGUUGGACAAUAGGAACAUCCACAUCUAGAACAUGAGAUGUAGGAAAAGGAAUUAUAACAUGCUAUUUUCCAAAAGGUAUCUCACGAGGCAUAAAAUUGGGAUCAACAUUAACUUCAUCUUCAAAGUAUACAACCCUGUCUGACUGAAUGAUCCUGGUGGUAUGAGAUGGACAAUAAAAUCCGAAAACCCUUGAUCCAACGCAAUAACCAACGAAGAAACCACUAAUGGUUUUAGGAUCAAGUUUUUUUUACUAUGGGUUAUAUGGCCUAACCUUAGCCUUACCUCCCCAAACAUGAAAAUGGUGAAGGCUCAGUUUCUUCCCUGGCCAUAACUCAUAAGGUGUCUUAAGCAUAGACUUAUUAGGCACUUGAUUCAAAAUAUAUGUCGCAGUCCUUAAGGCUUCACCCCACAGAAAUUCUAGUAAGGAGGAAUUAGACAACAUGCACCCUACCAUAUCCAACAAUGUGCAAUUCCUCCUUUCUGCAACCCCAUUCUAUUGAGGAGUGUCUGGCAUUGUAUAUCUAGCAUCAAUGCCGCAUUCCAACAGAAACUUAGCGAAUGGUCCAGGAUUCUAUCCAAUCUCAUCGUAUCUCCCAUAAUACUCACCAUCUCUAUCAGACUUCACAACUUUAAUGGGUUUUCCCAAUUGCAACUCCACCUUAGCCUUAAAGGCCAUAAACACAUUUAGGGAGUCAGAUUUCUAUGGGAUUAGUUCAACAUAACCAUAUCUAGAAAAAUCAUCAAUAAAAGUGAUGAAAUAUUUAUAACCCCCUAAAGCAGUUGGUGUUAAAGGACCACAUAUAUCUGUGUGGAUUAAGUCUAAAGUACUUCCACACCUAUCAAUCUUCUCAUUUUUUGUCUUAGUUGUCAUCUUCCCCUUUAAGCAAACAACAUAAGUCUCGAAGUCUAAGAAAUCAAGAUUAGAAAGCACAUCAUCUCUAACCAAUCUCUCUAAUCUUUGCCUAGAAAUAUGACCUAGGAGUUUGUGCCACAACAUGGAAGAACUCAAAUUCAUUCUAGCACGCUUGCAACCAACAACAGAAUUAACAAAAGAUGAAUCACACAAAGGACCAUGACGUAAACUGAGACUAUAAAGAUUGCCAAACAAAACAACAUUGCCAAUUAGAACUGAGUUGCUAAAUAUAUCCACUUUUCCUCCUCUAAAGUGGAAAGUGUAACCUUGUCUAUCUAAAAUAGAUAUAUAAAUCAAAUUCCUCAUAAGUAAGGGUAUGUAAGCAACAUUGUGUAACAACAAAAACUUUCUAUGAUCAAUCUUAGCUUUAUCAUGCCAAAAAAUUCUGCUUUCACUUUGCUUCCAUCACCCAUAUACACACAUUCUUCAUGCUUUGACUGCCUCCUUUUGUUUGUCAUCUCCUGCAAAGAAUUAGUGACAUGAAUAGUGGCACCAGUAUCUAACCACCAAGAAUUGGCAUGAACAUCAACAAUA
rnacentral:lncRNA from 1 species